rnacentral:lncRNA from 1 species
UUUUUUUUUUGUGAUUUUUUUGUGUAUAAAAAUUCAAACGCUGAAAUUUUAUUCAGAAGAAGAAAGAUAAUAUUAUUUAUAAACUACAUCUUUUAAAAGUCAUAAUAUGCGUGUAAAUUUUUUAUCACCCGAGGUAAACGACCUUACGAACAUAAAAAGUACUAUAUAUAAAGAUACAAACGUAUAUCAAAUCAUCAAAAUAUUUACAGACUACUACUAUAUUUUAAUAAUGCUACACAAAAUUAAUGUAAUGUUAAUAAUCAAAUCCGAACCUAACUUCAGUGAAAAAAAAACAGAAACUAACAUUAGUGAGUAAAAUAAAAAAAUAAUAUAGUUGAAUGGUUAGUUUUUAAAGGCGUAAUAAGUUUAGUGACAAAAAGAAUUAUCAUACUAAGUUGGUUGCUAAAAAAAAAUCCACCUAAUAUCACUGUGUAAAAGAGAAAAAAAAAUUUUAGUUGAGUGGCAAGUUUCUAAUAAUACAAUAAGUUGAGUGGUAAAAAAAUCUAUUUUCUUUAUUUUAAAUACAAGAUAACAUUUUACUAAAAUCAUAUUAUUAUCCCUUCAAAAAAAAUAAAAAAAUCACAUAUUAUUAUAUGUACAAGUUAUGUGUUUAUACCUUUUUUUUUAUUUUAAAUAUUUACAUUUUUUUAGUAAAAAAUAACAUAAUAAUUAUUUUCACAUUGGAAAUAGAACUCAAAAUGAUGCAAAUGGUAAAUAUAGAUUAUAUCUAAAAAUUAUAUAUAUAUAUAUAUAAUUUUUUAGCAUUUCUUAUAUAAAUUUUUAGAAUUUUAAUUAAGAUUUUCUUGAUUUUAACUUUUUUACUAGCUCAUUUUAUGUUAUUAUUAUUAUAUAUUAAAAUAUAAAAUACAUCAAAUUAUCAAAAUUAACAUAAUGCUAAUAAUUAAAUCUGAAACGUGAGUGAAUAAAGGACAUGAAAAAAACAAUAAUUGAAUGCUAGGUUUUUAAACACACAAUAAUUUAUUAUAUUAUAUAUAUCUAAAGUCGGGUUUGGCCCUCAUGUGUUGUAUUGUUGCAAGACACACAUACAUCUCCUCUGCUAACAAAACCACCCCCAAACCCAAUUCAUCCAAUUGAAUUAAGAAGAGAAGAUAAGAUGUUGCAAGGGGAGGCCAAGGCCAAGGCCAGAGCCGCGUUUAUGGAAUAUGCUCGUGCCAGGAUCAAGGAGUAUUGGGCUCGCAAGGUGAAACAAAAAUCUCAUUUAGUUAGGUUUUAUAGGUUUAUCAAUUCUAAUUGACUCGAUCUUGUAAUUUUACUAUCUGUAUUUGCGUGAUUUAAUUUAGAUGGAUUUAGUUUUGUUUGAAGCCCAUGUAUGAUACCAAUUUGUUCUUCUUCUUCUUCUUCUUAUGCCUUGGUAGUAUUUGUAAUCUGUGUGUGUGAGAAAUCGAUUUUUUUUUAAUGUUUGAUGUGUAUUAUAUGAAUUAUAUUGGUCACACGAAUUGUUGCUUUAUGGUUAGAUAUGUAUUGUAUGAAUGAUCUUGGUCACAUUUAUCUAAUUUGAUCGGACCUAUCAGGCUGCUCAGGAGGUUGCCGAUGCUGCUGAGCCAAAAGCUAAAAAACCCAAACUCAGUUCUGAAAUUAAACUCGGUCCUGAAAUUGUGUCUGUGCCAGCUGAUACUAAUUCAUCGUUGCCAACAAGUUCGUAUGUCAAGGACACGCCCAGUAGUGAGGAUCAAAUCAAGCCCCAACCCGAACCCCCUCUUCCUCAGACGCCCAGUAGUGAUGAUCAAAUUAAGCCCCAACCCGAACCCCCUCUUCCUCGGACCUCUAUUCUUGGUGUUAUCCGGGAAAAAGAUAAUUGGCUUUAUGAUAUUAAUAAGCGUAGAUGCAAAACAACUGGAGUUCCUGGCUAUAUAAAUAAAUUUUGUACUAUGGCCCUUGAAAAAUAUAACAAUGAAAAGGUAUAAAUCAGUUUUCUUGUAAUUUAUAUAUAAAACUAUUAAUUGGUUUUUCAUUUUUACUUUUCUUUAUUGUAUGUUUGCAGGGUACCAACUAUAGGUAUGCGUGCCUUCUAUUGGCUCAUGAGGGAGGUCAAAUUCGUGGUUCGAUUUACACCCUUAAGUUCAGAGCAUCUCAAUCCGAUUCUGAUUUUAAAUUCGAGGCUUUUACCGCAAGGGUCACCUCUGGCUAUAAAUUUUCUAAAGGUGAAUGGGGGUUUGUCAGAGAGGUUGAGCAAGUUUCUCUGGUGCCUGGUUCCUUGCAUUUUGCUUGGUGAAAUGUGUAAUAUGCAUGCUAUCUUUUAUGUUAAGGUAGCAACCUCGGAUUGAUUGAUAUGCUUCAACAAUCCAGAUAUUGGUUAAGAAACCUUCAAUAUGUACUUGACGAAUGAUGUUGUCUGAUAUCUGCCUAUAUAGUAGACUUUGCUGAAGAAAUCCUUAAAAGUAUGAUUGCCGUUGUAUUUGUUAAAUUAAACUGUGCUCCUUCCCGGUUUACUGUGCUUGCUAGCUAGAAAUUGUUAUGUCGUUGUCAUUAUCAAGACUGACUCAACUAUUUCAGUUUAUCAUCCAACCAGACUUUGAUAGAAAUGUAAAUUGUUCACACUUUGGUACUGUUAUAGUCAUACUGUUCCACACAUUCUUUCCAUAAUGCUCAAUUAGUACAUUUGCAUGAGGCCUCUAUAUCUUAGAUGGAGAGUGGAAAUCGGUCAAGUCCCUUGGUUUCUGCCAGACGCAGAAAUUCUCGUUAAAAAUCAUGCCCUUUAUCUGCUCGUUGAUUCUGUUUUGUGUGUUAAGAAGCACAAUCCUCCUGCCUUGGUUUUGUGGAGGUGAUUUAUAACCUUUUUGUUCUGCAUCACUCUAAUUUUAUUUGAAAUUGAUUUGCUGCGGUUGUAGUCAUUCCACUCAGCAUGAUCUGGGGGGUGAACUUGGAUGUUGUUCCCAGGGGAUGGGGGAGUAACUUAGAAUUGUUAAAGCUGGAGGCGUAUGGACUACGGAAUAGCUUCCAUCUGCCUCCAAUACGAAACAAUUAAAGAACACAUAACAAGUCUAGGAACUGUGUUGAGAAUACUUCAAAGUUAUUUGAAUAUUUUAUCAGCUGCUGCUUCUUAGAAAUAGCUAGAUAAUGCAGUUGCUGAAUUUAGGAGUUCUAAUUUUUUUAUUUAUCUAUAAACCAAAGUUUUGGUUUCUUGAAAGAAUAUGUAGUCAUCAUCUAUAAUUAUUUCACUACUGUUUUUUUAAGUUUUUCUGGACAGAGACAGCUGCUAAAAUCACAACUAGGAUAUAGCACAAAAACAUAGCUCGUAUGUUGAUUGAUAGGAAUCUGUUAUAUGGUCCAAUGCAGUGUGAUCCAUUAUGUUAGACUUUUCCACUAGACUAGAUGCACUUGAGAUAUCUUGUAUGCUAAUUUGCUGGAUAAACACACAAUAAAGUCAUCAAUAAUGACCCCCAUAAAUGGUACUACCAAAUAUUAUACUAUAUAUAUAUUGGGGCCGUUUGGGUUAGCUUAAAAGAAGUGACUUCUUGCUUAUAGUAAAGAAGUGGAGUAGAAGUGAGAAGUAAAUAAAUUAAUAAAGUGUUUGGAAAAGAAGCAGAAGCUGUGAGAGAGAAGCUAGCAUUUUCAGCUUCUUAAAAGUGCUUCUACUUCUUUACACAAACGGGUCAAAAGAAGCAGAAGCCAGAAGCAGCUUCUGCUUCCGUAAACCAAACAGGCCCAUUAUCUAAUAUAGACUAAAAAACGAAUUGUUGAGUUAAUUUCAUUAAUAAUUAAUAUGAAUAACGUUCAUAAUAAAAGGUCAUUAAGACUCACAUUAUUGUCAUAAAGAGAGAUUUACAAAAUUUGAAAAAGAAAUUACCAAAUUUUAACGUGACAAUAAGAGCCCAUGAUCGGUUACAAUUUUCACAUAUUAAUACAAAAUAAUCAAGCUUAAUUACAGGAAUCAAUUAUAGUGAAUGUGUUAAGCAAGUUGUGAAUGUGUUAAAACAAGAAAAGAAUAGGCUGACUAUGCAUGCUACGAAAAAUCAAAAAGCAAAGUGAAUAAUGAUAGAAACAAUCCACAAUGUACAUUAAAGUAAUAAACCUCUCGAUUUACAGAAGAAAUCCACUAGUUAACCAAUGAGAAUUGUCACGGAUAUGUAUGAAUUUACUAAAAUCUGAUAUUAGAACAACGGUAACAUAUUUGGAUUAUAACAAAAUUCGAUCAAUGUUAUAGCAGUAACAGUAAUACAAAAAGAAAAAAACACACACAGAGAAUAGAAUUUAACAUACAGAGAAAAUCAGAAUUAUCGAGGCCUUUAGCAGCGUUAGAGCACCUCCAAGGGAAAAUCUCCCUUACCUAUAAUGAGUCUAUGUGGACAAAAAUAGGGGUUCAAGCAAAAAUUAACCACUCCAACCCUUCUCUCCUCACCUGAUAAUUUUAGGUGAGAGAAAACAAAACCCCAUCUUUAGGGGAUGGAAAAGUAAGCCCCUUUUUCUUCCACCUCAUCUCCCUCUCUCAUUUUUCUUUCAUCUUUAAUUUUCCCUCCUUUUUUUAUCCCUCCCAUCAUAGUAAAAGUUCUAAUAAAUAUUUUUUUUUCAAAUAUAUGGAUGAUUAUAGGGGAUACCAUUGGAGUAAAACAACAUUUUCGUUACUUAUAUUUUUGAUAAUCAUUAAUUUAUUAUAUUUUAGGGGUUCGAAAUAUGUAAUACCAUUGGGCUUGCUCUUAGAAUACAGAUCUUUAAUAGCGUGUGAAGAUGUAAAAGCAGGAGAAAAUAAAGUUGAAAACUACCCCGUGAAGCUGGUAAAUGUAGAAAACAAACACUUGUGGAAUGUUAAAAGAGUAGAAAUCGUGCUUGUCGAAACUGGAAUCAAUUCGCGUCCAAUCGGUGACAUCCGAUUGAAAAAAUUGUUGAGUCAUACCUUUUAAAAAGGAUACUCCCUCUGCACAUAUCAUUAAAAAGUCUAUGAACUUUAAUUGUAAGUCUACUAAAAAGUUUAUGCCUUAUGGCAAAAAGAUAAAUAAAUUUUAUGCCUCGUCUCAUUUGUUAAAAAACAUUCCACUGUGAGGUGAAGGCUUUGUUUCCAGCCCUUAUUUUGUGGUCUUCUGUAAUUUACUAAUCUGAAAGGCUUUAAACUCUGAAAUUUACUUGUUCUCACUGCCAGCAUGCAUUUUUGAAAAUUUUAAGAUAUUACUACAAAGUCUGUUUUGGCACAUGUCUAUGCUUUUAGCAUAUUUACGGUAGCUUUCACAGGCCUUUAAUAAUAUUUUUUAUUAUGCUUUACUGUUGCCAUUAAAUCUCUUUGAUAUAUGAAUUAUAUUCCUGUUGGGCCAUAGCCCAUGUAAAGAUAAGACUUAAUAGAAAGCCCAUAACCGAUGUAAGCCCAUAGGCAUAACACGUGAGCAGCACGUAUGACAACUAGUAUAAAUAUGAUGUAACUACACCCGGAAAAGGGGUUGGAUAAUAGAGAUUAUAACUUCCCUCAUAAAUAUAUACACAUAUACUUACAUUUGGCGCUAGAAGGAGGGGAUCUCACCCUUCCAACCAGAAAUUUCGAAGCUCCACAAGCAUGGUGAUAAUCGGAGACAACGAGGAGUGCUACGACUCGCCGCCGCAACCAGCGACGAGAGAUGUGCCCCCGAUCCCCGAGAGGCCAUGUCGGAAAACAAGCUCCGCUACCAGGCGCUUGCAGUUUGAGAAUGAUGAGACUCAAGGCAGUGAGGAGGAAGGCCCGGCGGCUUCUGAUCCUACUGGCCGGAGGAAGCGCCGCAGAGGCACCAUGAGAACUUUGGUUCGAACGCCGCAGGGGAAACAUGUGCUCUCUAGCGACGCUAGACUCCACUUGGAAAGGAUGAAGGCCUUAAAAAAGGCGGAGUCCAUGGGUGGAAACGCCGGGAAAAAGAGCGAGGAGCAUAAGCUCGAAGCUCUCGACAGAGAGAGACGUAUUUUAGAGGCUGAACUCAGGCAGAAGCAAGAGAUAGCAAGGAUCAGAUCUGAGCUGGGGAAGUACCCUGCCUUUGGAACAUCCUCAGAGUACCAAACUGACGAUGAAGAUCGGUCGUACAAGCCUCCAUCUCGAGGUGGCGACUCCGCAGGCUCGUAUAGUUCCUUUCGCAAGAAAAGGAUGGACGAGUCUGACGAAGAGUACCAGGAGGUAAGCUCCAGAUAUGCCGAAGGGAACAAGCAUAGAGAUAAAGACAUCUCCAAGCUGCAAAGUGAUUUCGCUGUGUUUAAGGAUUUCAUGAGGACUCAGACCGGCGGGGUGGAACUCCCCUCAGAAAGUCCUCUCUCUGAAGAUAUCGAAAAUGCAAAAAUAGACAGGCACCUGAAGAUUCCAUCGAUUGAUCAGUUUGACGGAUCCACGGACCCGUCAGACUUCAUAAAUCUCUUUGAUGGCAGGAUGAGUUUCUGUGGACAUCCCGAUGUGGCAAGGUGCCGCUUCUUCUACACAUGCCUUAAGGGCACAGCACUUCAGUGGUUCAACAACUUGCCACCUCGCUCCAUUGAUUCCUGGGAGGUGCUAAAAACUAAGUUUCGCACCAGAUUCUCUAGCAACAAGAGAGGCGGAAAGAUCACUGCAUCUCUAAUGACAAUCCGCCAAAGAUCCUCCGAAUCUCUAAGGGACUUCUUAGGGCGUUUUAGAGCCGCAGUAGCAGACAUCCCCAAUCUCAUAGAUGAACUCGCGGUGAAUUACUUGGCUGCGGGAGUGGACAAAUCUCGCCAUGGACAACUAUUGGAGGAGUUUUUUGAAAAAAGCCCCCGCAGUUUGGAGGCCGCAUUAAAGAUACUUGAAAGGAGGUUGACACUUCAGGAGGCGGUAGGUAGCAUCCAAGACACUUCGCCACCUCACAAGAAGUGGGACAAGUCAUCUCAGUACAACAAAUGGGAUAACAGAAAGGCAGACUCUAAGGCCUUGCCACCUAUUGAGAAAAAGGACUUGCCAGAGAAAGGGCCUGCCACUAACACAUCUCAGCGUCCCCCAAGGCAGUGGCCUCCAAGGCCUCCAAGAGAGGAAAAAGAUUUCACAAAGCUUAACACGGAGAUCGCUUCGAUUCUGGCAAUCAUAAAGACAGAGCCAGAUUACAAGCCUCCAAGGCCAAUGAACCCAAACCGCCCUCCAAGCAACAAAUACUGCGAUUAUCACGAGGACACGGGCCACACAACUGAAAGGUGUUACCAGCUCAAAAAUAUGAUAGAGGACAGAAUUCAAAAAGGCCAGUACACGCACUUUGUGCAAAGGGAGAAAAGCCCAGAAGCGGUGCACACAAGGGAUAGAAUCAUUGACGUGAUAUCUGGUGGCCUAGCGGCAGGCGGGGCGUCGAACAACGCCAAGAAGGCAUACGCUAGAGAGGUGUAUAGAGUGGAUAACAAGCGCCCCAAAAGGAACCCAUCUCCAGUCAUUUCAUUCUCGGAUGAAGAUUAUCCAGAGGGUAUCCUUCACACUCAUCAGGAUGCACUGGUCAUCACAACUAAGAUUGGGGCCAAUACGGUCAAGAAGAUCUUAAUCGACAAUGGAAGUUCAGCCGACAUCUUAUACCACAGUGCUUUCACCAGGAUGGACAUGGGGGACAGAAAGCUAGAAGAUGUAAGGAGCUCACCCCUAUAUGGGUUCACGGGUAAUGAGGUAAAAGCUUUGGGCACAAUUGACCUUCCGGUCCUAUUUGGCUCGCCACCUCAGCAGACUUGGCAGAUGGUGAAGUUCCACGUGGUUAAUGCAAUAUCAGGGUACAAUGCCAUUAUAGGCCGCACCACCAUAUCAGCCCUUCGGGCCAUCACCUCAAUAACCCAUCUAAAAAUGAAAUUUCCAACAGAGUUCGGAGUUGGUGAAGUAACAGGCGACCAACAAAUGUCACGCCAGUGCUAUAUCACAAACGUAAUUCCUAAGAAAAGAUUGGCAACGGCUGCUGAUAUUGUGGCAAAUCAAGUUCAAACUAUCGAGUCUGAAGAGAACGUGGUCCUUGACCCUCAAUCAGUUCUGGAGGUCCCCAAGCCCCCACUACAUGAGCCUGCUGAGGCGACAGAGCAAAUACCUCUUGACCUGGCAAGGCCGGAGAGGACAGUUACCGUAGGGACUACUCUUUCCAAAGAAGUAAAAGAAACAAUAAUCAGCACCUUAAGGGAGUACUCGGAUGUUUUUGCAUGGUCUCCAAAAGACAUGCCGGGUAUACCCGACAAUGUUGGGCUCCACAGAUUGAACAUCAAACCUGAGAUAAGGCCUGUAAAACAAAAGAAACGCCUCUUUUCUACUGACAAACAGGAGGCCAUCAACAUCUUAUCACUUCUGACAAGCCCGGAAGGCUUCAAAGUACAACAAGCAAUCAAGUUCAUGUUUCCAACAACAAACAACGAAGCAGAGUAUGAGGCUCUCAUCGCCGGAUUAAAACUCGCCCAGCACCUCGAAGUAAAAGUCAUCGACAUAUUUUGUGAUUCACAGUUGGUGGUGAAACAAAUUUCUGGAGAUUUCAAAACAGCCAAUGACAGGAUGGCAGCUUACUUGACCUUAGCCUCACGGCUACUGGCUUCAUUCAAAGUGUGGACAAUCAACAAUAUAGAAAGAUCAGUUAACCACUGGGCUGACGCACUGGCAAGGCUCGCCACUUCAAACACCUCGACAGUUUCAGACCCAGUUUACAUCAAGGAGCUCAAAGCCCCUUCAACUAAGAUUGUGGAACUUUACUUCACUGAGAUGGUGUCAGACUGGCGAACUCCAAUUAUGGAUUACAUCAAGGACACAAGCAGUCCAACAGAUAGUAAGGAACAGAGAAGCAUCGCUUUGAAGGCCCGCCAGUACUGCUUGGUCGGGGAACAGCUAUACAAAAGGGCCUUAAGUGAGCCUCUACUCAAGUGUGUGGGGCCAGAGGAAGCUCGACUAGCCAUGAUUGAGAUACAUUCUGGAAUAUGUGGGGAUCACUCAGCAGGGAAAAGCAUGGCUCUGAAAAUCAUUCGCCAUGGAAUUUAUUGGCCAUCGAUUAGGAAAGACUGCGACACCUUCACAAAGACUUGCAAGCCUUGCCAGCUGUACAGUUCGGUAAGUCAUCGCCCUUCAGUCAACUUCAACCCAGUCACUUCACCAUGUCCUUUCUAUAUAUGGGGAAUCGACAUAGUAGGACCAUUACCAAAAACUACUGGUCAAAGGCAGUUCAUCAUUGUGGCUAUAGAUUAUUACACCAAAUGGGUCGAGGCCAGACCACUUGCUCGGAUCAGAGAGAAGGAAGUGAUAAACUUUUUCAUGGAGUCCAUUGUUUUUAGAUUCGGGGUUCCUCGCAUCAUUGUCACGGAUAACGGCUCCCAGUUUACAGGAAGGGAUUUUGAGGGGGCCAUUGACGAGCUAAAAAUCAAGCACCUCAAGGCAUCGGUGGCAUACCCUCAGGCCAAUGGACAGGUAGAGAUAACAAAUCGGGCUAUUCUCCAAGGACUUAAGAAAAGGCUAAUGGAGGUGGAAGGGAGCUGGGUCGACGAGUUGCCAAACGUGCUUUGGGCACACCGCACCACUCCAAGGUCAACUACCGGGGAGACUCCAUUCCGAAUGGCUUAUGGAACGGAGGCUGUUCUCCCAUUAGAAAUCAGUCUGAAUUCACCAAGAGUCGAGAAUUUUACUCCAGAAUCUUCUGAAGAAGGGCUUCGUCUCAAUACUGAUCUAACUGAGGAAGUGCGGGAGUCAGCAAGUCUUAGGGUGGCGCAGUACCAGCAAAAGGUGGCACAAUACUACAAUGCCAAAGUCAACCCCAGACACUUUCAGGUAAAUGACCUUGUUCUCAGAGAGGCCUCAGCAUCAAUGCCGGCAAAAGUCUCCAAGCUGUCAGCUCCUUGGGAAGGGCCCUAUAAAGUCUCCAAGGUGGUAAGGCCCGGCACAUAUCGCCUUUGCCACCACGACGGCUCGCCAGUUCCUAACACUUGGAACGCAAUCCACCUUAAGAAGUAUUAUCAGUAGCGAUUCUGCUCACCAAAUCGCCACUCAACCACUCUACUACAAAAACUUUGUCUUUUGACCAAUCAUGUUAUGUUCUAAGUUUAAAAUAUGAAUAUUUUGGUACUAUCUUUAUUCUGGAAGUAUCCCUUUUCAGUUCAAGUUCAUUUUAAGUAAUUAUCUUUCGUUAAAACGUUGCUAUGUGUCAUCUUUUAUUAGUUGAAACUACUUUCAUUUUAUAUAUAUAAAAUAUUGCUGACUUUUGCACUUGCUUAGUUUUUUAAAGGAAUGUUCGUCACGCAAUGCAAUAUCAUCAAUCGAAACGAUUUAUCAUUCGAUAUUUAUUCUCAUAUAACGAAUUAGAGAUCCUUCGUGUUUACCUUUUGACAGUACAGGUAACCAAAUCUCCAGUAAACGCCUCGACGGCAUGACAGCUCUAAAAGAGCAACAAGCCACAAAAAAAAAAAGAAAAAGAGGUAAAGAUCAUUCUGAAAAGCGCAGACCUGUUUCAACAAUACAUCUAAAAAUAAAGACUUCACAGAGACAAAAAAGGGGGCACUAAAAUGGUCAAAUCUCCAAUAAGCGCUCCAACGACGCGGCAUCUCCAAAGAAGCGGCACCCCACAGAGAAAAAACAAAGAAGUGUUCUAAUGAUACAUCCAGAGAACAACAAAGAAAAAUAGAGAUUCCGUAAAGUCUCCAAGCAAAUUGCAGACAAUAAAAAGUAGCACAAUCAAGCAAAUACGAGGCAAAACCAUAACAGAAGAAGGCACAGCAAAAUUUCCCGAAAGACAAGAUAGAUAUUCAAGCAUGAAGAUUGUCAUAACAGCAAAAGCACCAACUAGAAAAUGUUCGAGAGCUACCAGAAAACCAAAAGUAAUUCUUACAAGCAUACUCAGGGGCAUUCCCCUGGUUAAUCAAAGUCUUUAAGAUAUAAAAAGAGCUCAAGGCUCCUCAACUUGAUUGGACGAAGCCCCCACUGCAGCCGCCAGGCCUUCACAAUAGGUGGCAAAAGUAAGACUCUGCAUAUCAUAACCAGCAGCAACGGCGCGGUCCCAACACAACUGAUAACCUUCCUCCAAAGUCGUUAAAGCUUCGUCCUGACUACGUGACAGAUCGUCACGGACCUUAGCCAACUCUUCAUCCAUCUUUGCCUUCUCCUUUUUGACAACCUCCAGUGCGUCAACAUGUUCUUUCUCUUUGGCAACAUUGGCAGCAGUAAGGUCAGCCUCAAUUUUUUGAUAAGCAAGAAUCAAUGCAUUUAGGGAACUCUUAUCAACAGCAAGAGUAGCAUUCCUCUUCUUCAACUCACUAACUUCAGCAACCAGUCGUUCCUUAUCAGCAACACCCUGCCGCUUCGCCGCCUCAAGUUCACGACGAACAGCAGCUACCUCUUCAGCCUUGUCAACCUCUUUCCCAAGGUCCAACACUCGGUCAAAGCCCUCAACCAACUACAAGGAAAGGGAAGCCCAACACAAUUAACAAAAAGGGGGGGGGCAAGAGAGAAGAAGAUCCCCAGCAGUAGAAGCACAAGAGUUACGAAGUAUAGCUAACCUGAUCGAGGUGAACUCGAAGUUUAGCCAUUUCACUUUGAUAAGAGCGACCUGCCAGAGAGGAAGACCCGAUCACCGGCGGAGCAACAGAGUCCUUAGAUUUCUUAUGAUGGUGAUGGUGAGAUUGAAUUUCGGUAUCCUUCCGAUGCCUUUUCCGAUCACGAGUUUUCACAACCAAGUCAGUAGUUUCCGCAGCAAGCUCAGAAUCAACAGCCACAUCUUCAAUCUCCUUAGCACGAGAGGUCACUUCUCUCUCCCCAGUUUCCGGAGUUUUAGCCGCCAUGGAUGUAGCACCAAGCUGUGCCAGUUUAGCAAGCAACGCUCCACUCGGCAUUUUCGGCUUAGACUUCACCAGUGACCGCAAGGAUGUCCCAGCCACUACAAAAAAACAAACAAAAAACAAGAUCAGAAAAUCAGAGUAACAAGACAGACAGACCAAAAGUCAAAACAAAUUCUUACAACAAUGCUUAGUUAAAAACUUAAUGUCAGAUAAAGUAUCAGUGUUAUAAGGCUCGGUUUCCCCGUGAAAAUCGUUCAAAAAGUCCUCCGGCAGAGAUGGCAUCUGAUUCAACUCUUUCAAUCGCCACUUGGGUAUGACACUCCAUGGACGAACCAAACUAAGAUCAUCUCCCUCCAUGUAAGUCCAUUGGCUGUGCCAUAUGGUAUUGGACGAAGGGGCGUCCACAAUCCGAACUCUACCAGCCUUCCUAUCCAGAUAUAACAACCCAUUGGUAUUCUUAACCCGAUAAAUUGAAAACAAGAGUUCCAAAGAGGGCAACUCCCCCUUCUCAUGACAGCGGGCAAUGAAACCCACAAUCUGAAUAAUAGCAUUUGGAGACAAUUGCGCGAGACCACACCCUAACGCCUCAUAAACAACACCAAAGAACGGGUGCAUGGGGAGUCGGAAACCAUACUCGAAAAAGAGGAGAGGAAUCGCUUGCCAUCCUUCGCGAGGAGGGCACCACAUCUUGUCAGUACGACGGGGGAGAUGGUGGACAUACCCCAAAUCAAAGCAACAGUGCUGAGGGAGUCUUUUGAUAGCAGAGCUGCGAGCAGUCAUACUGGACCGUUGGUUAAAGGAGGGGCAAGCACGGAAAUAACCCGUAGCAUUCUCCACAACCACCUCGCCUCCACCAGAAAAACCCCCAUCAAGAUCACUCCCUCCAACCAAAACAGAGCUCAUCGAUCCACUGGCUCCCAACGGGUUAAACUCCCUUUCCAGAGAAGCCAAGCUAUGAGACGAUGAAUGACGGACCACGGUGGGAGGAAGAGGGGUUAGACUCUCGAAAGUGCGCGACAAACCCGGGGACCCACCAGCAAUGGCCUUCACAGAAGGAGUACGGCGACGAGGGAGUCUCGAGGAGGACAUACUUCAACCCAACAAAAGCGAUACAAGCGAAACAAAGAAGAAAAGAUCGACUCAAAAGAGAAAAGAGAAAUUACCUAGAACAAGGGAGCAAUGGAAAUCUUGAACAAGAGGUAAGAGAAGCCGUCUGAAGAGAAAUUUAAAAAGGCGAAAAUGAAGAGGCUAGCCCUAAGUCGCCAGUUUCCAAGAAUAUCAAACUACACGCACAGUCUUUUCAGUUUCCCAAGGUUCAAGAAAGAUGGGAAAAGAAAGUGACAUUUAAAAAUUGGGUAAAACCAAUUCCAUUUACUCAAGAAAAUUCAAAAACGGGAGAAAGGAAAAACAGACGAAAACAACAAAACUCUCGCAGCAUCUAAAGAUCCAGCGGACUGGGGGAGGGACAAAUGUUGGGCCAUAGCCCAUGUAAAGAUAAGACUUAAUAGAAAGCCCAUAACCGAUGUAAGCCCAUAGGCAUAACACGUGAGCAGCACGUAUGACAACUAGUAUAAAUAUGAUGUAACUACACCCGGAAAAGGGGUUGGAUAAUAGAGAUUAUAACUUCCCUCAUAAAUAUAUACACAUAUACUUACAAUUCCUAACUAUUUGGCAGGCCAUUUUCUGUCAAACACAACUCUUCUUAUACUAUUUUCUGUUGUGGAUUUUUGCUGCAGGCUUCUAAUAAUGAAAAAUGAGAAAAUACUGGAGAACAAAAUUGACAAAGAAGAGAUAGAAGACGAGUUGGACGAUGAAUUUUAUGAGACAGUUAAGUUUCUUCUCAUGAUAAUUGAUGCAAUUUUGACUGUUUUGAGAGAUUAUUUAAGCAUGAUGCAUUAACCUAUCCGUCGUUCUCUUACACGACGACCAGUAACGAGAAUCGGGUAUCAGUUUGUAAAUAAUUUGAUGAAGGAAGAUCCACAUAAUUUUCGUGAAUUACACAGAAUGUAUCCAAUUGUCUUUCUCAAGCUGUGUAAUAUUAUAAGAGAAGGAACUACUUUGCAAGAUACAAGCUUUUGUAUCUGUUGAAGAAAUGGUAGCUACUUUUCUACUGAUUGUGGGACACAAUGAUCGCUAUUGUAAUGUUAGGCAAAGGUUUAAUCGCUCACACUUUGCAACUAGUACAAAUUUUAACAAAGUUCUGAAGGCUUUGAACACUAUAGCAUCACAACUGAUGGUAAAGCCUAGAGGUGUUUCUCCUAAAAUUUCUGAGAGUACAAGAUUUUAUCCUUACUUUAAGGUAUUAUUUUUAUUGUAAUCCGUUAGUCUAACCAUGAUUUUAUUUGAUUUCGAAAUAUUAAUUUUUUUUGGUUAAAUAUUUUUUAGGACUGUGUUGGUGCUAUGGAUGGAACUCAUAUCCCAGUUAUGAUACGAGGUCGGGCAGUAAAUAGCUAUCGUAAUCGGCAUGGUUUUAAUUCUCAAAAUGUUUAAGCUGCUUGCAACUUUGAUUUGGAAUUCAUAUAUGUGCAUAGUGGGUGGGAAGGUUCUGCACAUGAUUCAAAAGUGUUAAACGAUGCAUUAUCAAGAGUAAGUAUAUUUUUAUUUUGAAACCAACUAAUAAUACCAAUAAUAUCUAAUUCAAUAUAGUAAUAUAUUUUUAUUUACUCAGACUAACACGAAAUAAUUUGUACAUGAGAUAUUUCUACAGUGAAGUCUGGUGACCUAUUCAAUCCAAUUAUAAUGACAUAGGUAGAACUUUUAGACGCAAAUUAUAUGUUUCAAUUUAUAAAAUAGGUAAAUAGUUGAAAUUGAUUUAAUAUGUUCACAAUUUACGGUCACCUUUAGUGAUACGAUCGAAUUCAAGCACAUGAACAUAUAAUAGUUUAACUAUAAGAGUCGGUCAAAGUUCAGAUACAACUAUUGUGAUCUCUCUUUGUCUCUUUCUCCCCUUUUUCUCAAUCUUCUUAUAACCGGUCUACACAUAUUUAUAUGUUGAUCAUUACUAUGAUCAUCAGCUGGUCGAACAAUCAUUUGCUACCCUAUAACUAUCUUAUCAUGAAAAUUUAUCAAUAUUUAAUAAGGUUAUCUAUAUUUAUAAAAUCAUAUGUGAUUAUUUUAUUUAAUAGUCAAUUGUCUAAAGCUCGACUGAUAUGAGUUGUAAUUCGGUUGAGUACCUGCACUCGAACUCUUUUCCAAACUAAUUUUAUAUUGUUUGGAUGAUAACUCAAUAUUGAGUGUCACUCGAGUAAAACUCGAUUUUUGUUUGUGUUUUAUAAUUUAUAAUAUAAUUAUGUUUUAUUAAACUUCUAAGUAUAAUUUUUUUUUGAAACCAACUAAUAACAUCAAUAAUAUCUAAUUCAGGAUAGUACAUAUAUUUUUAUCUACUCAGACUAACACGAUAUAAUUUGUAUAUGAAAGAUUUUACAAUCAGUGAAAUCUAGUGGGCUAUUCAAUCCAAUUAUAAUAACACAUAUUGAAUUUUUAGACGCAAAUUAUAUAUUUUAAUCUAUAAUACAUAUAAAUAGUUGAAAUUGAUUUAAUAUGUUCACAAGUUACGAUCGUCCGUAGUGAUAUGACCGAAUUCAAAUACAUGCACAUAUAAAAGUUUAACUAUACGAGUCGAUCGAAGUUCAGAUACACAUAAUAAUACACAUAAUAGUUGCUGUUUCCCUUUCUCUCCUCGUCUCUCUCAUCUUCUUAUAACCAGUCUACACAUAUUUAUAUGUUGAACAUCAUCAGUCAGUCGAACGAUCAUUUGCUACCCUAUUACCAUCUUAUCAUGAAAGUUUAUCAAUAUUAAACAAGCUGAUUUAUUUUUUUAUAAAAUUAUAUGUGAUUAUUUUAUGUAAUAGUGAGUUGUCUAAAACUCGACUGAUUUGAGUCGUAAUUCGGUUGAGUAGCUGCACUUGAACUCUUUUCCAAGCUAAUUUUAUAUUGUUUGGAUGAUAACUCAAUUUUAAGUGUCACUCGAAUAAAACUCGAUACAAGCUUGUGCCAACUUGAAUUAGACGUUAAGAAAUUUAAUAAAUGGAAAAAGAUUUCAAACUGAAAAGAUUGAAUAUAAUGACAUAAUUAUUCAAGACUCGUGAAAUUGGAUAUAGUAUUAUAAUAUAUAAUAUGAUUUAUCGUAUAAUAUACAUAUGUUAAUAAUUUAAUCUCAAAAAUUAAUUUAUAAAUAAAUCCAAUUUUUCCCAGUACUUAAAUAUUUACCCCGAGCACUCAUUAGUCGAUAUAAUCACUGAGUCAAAUCAUAAUUUGGUUUUUAAACAGUGGCUACCGAAUUUUAAUUAAGUUGUCACUUGAGUCCAUUAUAUGUAAACAUUUUUUAUUUUUUAAUUAGAUGAGAAUUGCAAGAUCUUGAUUUAAAUUUAUAAUUAAAAUUAUCUGAUUAAAUGUUCCAAAAUCAGUUCAGAUAAAUAUUUUUUUGUAAAUUAACUAACUAUUAGCAUUUAAUAUUUUUUGUAUGUAUAUAUUAGUUAAAAAACUUUUGUAAAGGAGGGGUCAUAAAUAAGUGGAAAGUGUAAUUACCAUAAAUAUUAAUGUACAAAUAACUUAAUAAAUGAUGUUUAAUAUGUUGAAUAUAAUAAAUGAACCAUAUUGGCAUUCUUGUAAUUAUAGGUUAAGUAGGGGUAUAAUUGACAUUUCACGCCUAAUUCUUUUGCUUUUUUUGCCCUUGGUUGCAAUUUAAUAUAUAGAAGUAGAUGAGCUUGAAGUUCCCCCGGGUAUAUAUUCCAUUAUUCCUUGCUCUAAUAUACUUGAGUGUUUAAUUUGUUGUAUAUCUCACGCAUAUUUAUUAUAAACUUUUGUUUUCAGGAAAAUAUUUUCUUGUAGAUUGUGAAUUUGCUAAUCAUCGUCAGUUUUUAGCUCCCCUUCGUGGUGUUUGAUAUCAUCUAAAAGAUUUUGAUGGUGAAGUUCGUCACCCAAGAAAUGCAAAUGAGCUUUUUAAUCUCCGACAUUCAUCAUUGAGAAAUGUGGUUGAGAGAAUUUUUGGUGUGGUCCAAUCAAGAUUGACGAUGUUUAAAGUUGCACCUCCAUUUUCAUUUCAAACACAAGCGGAGUUGGUAUCAGCUUGUGCUGGAUUACACAACUUUCUUCAAAAAGAAUGCCGUUCUGAUGAAUUUCCGGUUGAAAGUAAAGAUGACCAGCUUUCUGACACGGAUGAUGAUAUUAAUGAAUUAAAUUUUCUAAGUCAACAACAACAAAGGGAAGAAGCAAAUAAUUGGAGAGCUGGCAUUGCAAAUUUAAUGUGGAAUAAUCGACCUAGUACCACUACAAAUGAGGAGGAAGGGAAUAACGAGGAGGAGGGUGAUGAAGAAGAAGAAGACGUGCACUGAUGAGUGGCUUAGAUAUUUAUUUGUUAUUGAAUAUUAUUUUAUAUAUUGGAGCAUUUUAUAAUAUAAAUGACGUUUUUUUGAAGACAAGAGUGUCUUAUUUUGCAAUAAAAUUAAUUAUAUUUUAUAUUAUUAUUUAUCAGAAUGUCAUGUGUAUUCAAUUUAAAUAUUUUAUAAGAUUAUUUCGAAUUCCGAAAUCAGUAGGUAUUCAAUUGGGAUUUUAAGAAAAGAAUGCAAUAAAAUCCGGAAAAUCUCAUAAAAUCCCAUAGAAUCCACACAACAUAAUCCAACGGAAUCCACAUAGAAUGAAAUAAAAUCCAUAUGGAUUUCAAAUGAAAUGAAAAAGAAUCCAUGGAUUUUAAAAAUCCCAUAGAAUCCAUGUAUUAUUAUGAAUCCAUUAAAAUCUCAAUUCAAUACACCCCUCUUAAUAUAUUGAAGUAGAUAGAUAGUAGAUUUAUUUAAUUGAUAUAACAUCUUAUCUUAUAUAUUAUAAACUUAAUUAUUUAUGUAAUUAAUUUUAGGAAAAUAAUAUGUAAUUUUUGUAAUAUGAUGUAUAUUUUAGAUUGUGAUUUUCAUUUGUACUUGACAUCUUAUAAUAUACAAAUAAUUUAUUAACAAUACUAGUUUAUUAACUGUAUCCUGCACGAGUGUUUAAUAAUAUUAAUUAUUUUAUCAUGUAUAUUUUAAUAUUUAACUAAUUUUAUUGCGAAGAUAAAAUUAUUUGGUGGAUAAUAUAUGUUUUUAAUAACAACUAAUUAAUUUUAGAAAAAUAAUAUGUAAUUUUUGUAAUAUACUAUAUAUUUUAGAUUGUUAUUUUCAUUUGUACUUGAUAUCUUAUAAUAUACAAAUAAGUUAUUAACAAUACUAGUUUAUUAACUGUAUCAUGCACGAGUGUUUACUAAUAUUAAUUAUUUUAUCAUGUAUAUUUUAAUAUUUAACUAACUUUAUUGCGAAGAUAAAAUUAUUUGGUGGAUAAUAUAUGUUUUUUCUAACAAUAAAUUUUUUAAUAAUAAAUAAAUAUGUAUGAGUUAAUAUAUUUUCAUUAGUUGUGUUAAAUAAAUUGUUAAUUUAACUUACUGAGUAAGUCUUAAUAUUUAUACUCAUUAAUAAGUGGACCGUAAACAUGUAUUCAAUUAUUGAAAAGAAAUAUUUAUUAAAAUAUUUAUAAAUUAAAGAGUUUAAUUUGCUCAAAUAUCAUCUCGCCGAUCUCUUUUUAUUAUAAUAGCUAUUUUAGUCGAUCUCAAUAUUAGAAAUUUGGUCAAUCAUCAAUUAGACAUACGAGUCUUCUUAAUUUAUAAAUUCAAAUUCUCAAAUAAUAAAAAGCUUUAUAUUCUUUUCAUUUGUAUCUUCUAAAGUUAGUAAUUUAAACUAUAAUUAUAAAAUUUAAAUAUAUUAUAUAUGUAAUUUUAUUUUCCAUAUAAAUCAACCAUUACUAUAAACAAAACAAAACAAACCCCGUAUAUCCCGCUUCGAGCGGGGUCUAGGGAGGGUAAAAUAUAUGUUGACGAUGCUCAUAUUCACUUAGAGUAGGGAGGUUGUUUCCGUGAGAACCCCGGCUUAGUGUAAGACAGAGUUUUACGUGAAAUAUAGGUAGAUAGUAGCUUGACUCAUGAUUUCUAACACAUGAAUAGGGAUGGCAGUUUUACCCGACCCGAUGGAUACCCGACCCAUUCCGACCCGAUUGGGUCUACCCGAACCCGAUUUUUUUGGAUUUGGAUCCGGAUCUGGAUCUUAUUUUUGGACCCGAAAAAGUUUGGAUCUGGAUCUGGGUCUCAGGUAUUCCGAACCGAGACCCGACCCGAAACCCGAUUUAAACCCGAUUCGAACCCGAAACCCGAUUAAAACCCGAUACAAAAUAUUUUAUAUAUAUAUAUAUAUAGACACACACGUAGAUACAUCAUACACAUACACAUAUGUUAAAUGUAAAGUAUAUAUAUUGAAAUAUUAUGAAUUAUUAGGUAUGAAUAUUAACAUUUUAUUUAAUUUUAUAUUUGCAAUACAGAAUUUAUAUUUGUUUAAUCAAUAUUUUAUUUUUCUUAAUUAUUGUGUUUAAAAAAAUCUAAAUACAAUAAAAAUAAAAAAAAAUAUAAAUGAUAAGUUGAAUGAUUAUAUACAAUUGAGUUAACAUGUUUCACGUGUUUAUUUUACUAAAUGAAGCCUGUAAUUCCCUUUUUUAUAAUUCUAAAGUUAAAAAAAAAUCCAUAAUCACAUUUUUUAUAGAUAUAGAAUUUUUAAUUUUUAUUUAAUUUUAUUUUUUAAAUACCCGAAUUAGACCCGAACACGAACCGAAACCCGAAAAACCCGACGGAUCGGAUCUGGAUCUUCAUUUUUCAGAUCCGGACCCGAACCCGACCCGAACCGAAAUAUAAUGGAUCGGGUCUGGAUUUCAAGAAACCCGACCCGAUCCGACCCGUUGCCAUCCCUACACAUGAAACUCACCUUUAUCAGGAAUGCAUCUGUCCAUGAAUGAUUUGAGCCAUUGCAUCAAAGCAUAACGCCAAAACACCCAAAUCUUCUUCGCUGCUAAUUCAUUUAUCAAUAAAUGAUCUGAGCCUUUUCUUAAAAGUAUAUCACCGUAAGCCACGAGACCGAGUCUCAACUACUUUGAUACGCUGUCGCCAACCAUUCUUUAAUGUAAUAUCCCCAUGAGAUUUAGAACUAAGUUCAAACUUAAUUGAUCAGAUUACGUCCGACGAGGCCGAAUUCUCUUACUUGUCCUCAACUGAUAUGUCUUCAACUCAUCGAACCGGGGCUGAGUUAUAUUUACGUCGAAAAUGUCCAUAUCAACAUAAACGCCCCUCCCUUAUUUUCUUAGAGAUAGACUCAACACCUAAAGGGCGUCGAAAAGUAAAUAUUCGAUAUAUGAUCUAUCAUGUUGUUACCACAAAUCCAACGCAACAUACACAAUUCUACAAAGAUCGACGCUCCUGAGCCUUUUCUCAAUGGAUAAAAUUUAUCCUUCAACUUCAAAGGUACAUUUUUAUCACACAACAUGCUAGUAGCUGCCCUCCAACGAAGUCAUCCUGUUAAAAUAUGAUGAGUCACAUCCAUAAAUAAAAUAUAUAUUCACAGUAGAAUAUAUCACGUCCUCAGUAAUUAUAUUAAAAUAAUAUAUUUUAUUUAUAACAAUGUAAAUUGAUAUUAAUAUAUUAUAUUUAAAAUAUAAUCAAAUCAAAUAUAAUUAAUACAAUCAAAAUCAAAAUAAAAUAUGAUGUAAUUAUCAGAAGAUACGAGUUUUCUUGUAAUUUUCUUUAUAAAAAAUGUAAUUUGUACGACAUUCUUUUUCCCUUUAAUUUUUUCUCACGUGAUUUUAUUUUUGCGGGGUUUUAUCGAGACCCAAUUAAUGAGUUUUUUUUCCAAGGCAUUACCGUAUAAAUAUCCGAGAGUAAUUGAUUAUUUUUCAGUUAUAUGGUAUACUUUUGUGAAUGAAAAAAAAUUAUAUUUUCCAUACUUAGAUAUCAAUGAAAAUUUAUUUUCCUUUUUAAAUAAAAUAAAAUAAUAUCUUUACCUCAAGCUGUUGAAAGACUCCUGAAUCCUUUUUGUUUUCUUCCUCUUCUUCUCGGUGACAAUCCCUUGCCUAAAAGUUUGAUCUUUUAUCUUUCCGGGGUUUAGUAUUUUAUGAUCUGGGUCAGUUGUAAACUGGGGUGAUCUUGUUAUUUAUACUCCAACUACCUCAUAAGUAAGGUUUACACAUAAUCGGUUCAAGAUGAAGAUAAAGUUAGGAUUUUUACUUGUAACUUUGAUGAUGGAAUGGUUAGAGUGUUGUAUGGGUAGAUUUUUUGUGGAGAAAAACAGCUUAAAAGUGAUUUCACCAGACAAGUUGAAAGAUACAUAUGAAUGUGCAAUUGGUAAUUUUGGUAUUCCGUACACUUGUUGGUGCUGUUAUCUACCCUAAAUCCAGUCAGAAGGCUUGUAAGACCUUUGAUGAUGAUGCCUCUUUCAAAUCCAAUCCGGGUAGUCUGCCCAUCUUUCUCCUUGCCGAUCGAGGGGUAACUACUUAUUCACUUUUAGCUUUGCUAAAUUCUUACUAAUUCAAUUUGCCUUUGAUACUAAUUACUUUUUCCUCAUGUUUUUUAGUUUCUACAGCUCAAUUACCAGCAACUUAUUAAACCCCUCGACUUCAUUUAUGCUAUGUUAAACUUUAAGUUAUAGGAUAAGUGUCUUAUUAUCAACUCAUAAUUACAAAAUUGCAGAUUGUUACUUCACACUCAAGGCCUGGAAUGCACAGAAUGCGGGAGCAGCAGCUAUUCUUGUUGCAGAUGACAGGGUUGAGCCUUUGAUCACCAUGGAAGAUGCACGUGCAAAUUAUCUGCAGAACAUCACUGCUCCGUCAGCAUUAAUUAGCAAAUAUUUAGGGGAUAGCAUCAAGAAAGCUCUAUCCAAUGGUGACAUGGUUAACAUAAAUCUUGAUCGGAGGGAAGCUUUGCCGCAUCCUGACGAACGUGUCAAAUAUGAGUUCUGGACGAAUAGCAAUGAUGAGUGUGGCCCUAAGUGUGAAAGCCAGAUAGACUUUGUGAAGAGCUUCAAGGGAGUGGCUCAGAUACUUGAACGGAAUGGAUACACCCAGUUCACGCCACACUACAUCACUUGGCAUUGCCCGGAGGCUUUUACAUUGAGCAAACAGUGCAAGUCUCAGUGCAUCAAUCGUGGGAGGUACCGUGCGCCAGAUCCAGACCAGGACUUCAAUAAAGGUUAUGAUGGCAAGGAUGUGGUUGUUCAAAAUUUACGCCAGGCAUGUCUUUAUAAAGUGGCAAAUGAAAGCGGGAAACCAUGGUUUUGGUGGGACUAUGUGACAGACUUUGCUAUCCGCUGCCCAAUGAAAGACAAAAAGUACACAAAAGAAUGUGCAGAUCAAGUUAUUCAAUCCCUUGGUUAGUUCCUGAUUUAUCUAAUAAUAUUUACUCUUGUUUCUAUAUCUGUGGUAUUUGGUUGGUCGAAACGCAUGAUAUAACUUGUUCAUAAAGAGCAAGGUCCAUAUAUGACUUUAUACCCAUGUCAACCAAAAAUGACAUGGGUGUGGCCUUUAUAUCAUUUUGUUCAUAAAGAGCAAGGUCCAUAUAUGACUUUUUCUAUGUUACCCUUUGAUUUUAUAACACAGAUAUGAUAUAUAUAAUCACGUUUAUAAGCUUAAUUGGUAGAAGACACUAGUCAUACAUACUUUUUAAGAUGUAAAAUGGAUUAAGAACAUAUAAAUGUUCCCUUAUGUUAAGCUUACAUGUCGAGUCCCAGCACCCGUGUCUGAUUUCGGAUUUGCAUCCAAGAAUCCUACUUUUUAAAAAACCAAAGAUCCUACACUUGGAUCUGCAUUCUGCACCCGUGGCGAACAGCCAUACUGGAGUCCUGGUAACUGGGGUUAUAGGAGGGUGAUGAUAUAUACAUAUGUGUAUGCAUAUAUGCAAGGAGGGUGUAAAAAAGGAGGAGACAGGAGUAUGAGGUCACAAGAGGAGAAGAUAGCCAGAAUUGAUGAAAGGUGUGGUGAUAGUUGUGAUUGCAGGUUGAUACAUACAUAUAUGACUGUAUGUAUAUUUUCAGGAGAUGGUAUGGGAUUCAUGUGCAUCAUAUGUAGUAGUAGUACCAUGCUCUCCAUUAAUAAUCACGUUCCAUUUAUGUGAGGGUUUGAUCUAUAUGCAUUUGAAUUUAAAUUUUGUGUUCAAUUUAUUUCACAGAAAGAACCUUUUCUUUUGGGCGUGGAUUUAGUGGACUGCACGAGACAUGUUUAUUUUGUACCCUGAUUUCUUCGCCCUUCUAAUAGAAAUAUAAGUAUGAACAACUAAACAAUGAAACUGAUACUUUUAGGUAAGAAACUUUUUAGAGUUUGAAGCUAAAUGAAAUUGUAGUUUAUUUCACAAAAAUGUGUGCCGAAACUAACAUGUUUUUGUUGGUUUAUUUACUUAUUUAUAUCCUUUAAUUUAGAUAGAUAUCUCUGCAAUUUAACAUAAUCCAUUUGAUUUUACAAAGUUACGUUUAGUAUCUGGAUAACGAGACUGUUGAUAAUAAUAAUUAAUCUGUUUAGAAAUAUGUAGGUGUGGAUCUGAAGCAGAUAGACAAAUGUAUAGGUGAUCCUACUGCAGACGUAGACAACACUAUUCUGAAGACUGAACAAGAAGCACAGGUCCUUUUUUCUAGAGAAUAGAUUAUUCAACCCCUCACACAACAGUUUUUCAUAAAAGUCAUCAGCAAUAUUAACAGUAUUAUGCAAUUUUGAUUUUAGAUUGGCAAAGGCUCUCGUGGCGAUGUGACAAUUCUGCCAACUCUGGUGAUAAACAACAGGCAGUAUAGAGGUAUUGAGUUGAAGUGUAUAUCUUUCUUUAAAAAAUAAAGUUUGUGAAACUAAUCGUCUAUUGUUUCAGGUAAGCUGAAUACAGGAGCCGUCCUCAAAGCCAUAUGUUCAGGUUUCGAGGAGACUACAGAACCAGAUGUUUGUUUAAGUGAAGGACUGAAGGUGACCACUAAAAUUUUGACUAUUUAAACUUUAUUUUUAGUAUACGGUGUACACACACCAGUGUGUGCCCACACACCCAAACACAUUUCUGAACUUUGUUAAAUACUUAAAUUUAUCAUGUCUCCUCAGUAUUUUUUGCUGGUCAGAUCAGAAGCCGUCUUUACUGAAAUCAUAGGCACUCCUGCAACUGAUAUUACCAAUUUACAAACAACUGUAAAAAUUAUAUUUUAUAUGUAUAAGCAUGAUAGGGAUCUUAUAUGAAAUUUUUAAUUUGGUCAACAUCUGUUAUAAUUAAAAGUCUUAUUAAUAAAAAAAUUUGAUAUAUAUUCCAACUAGAAUUCCUAUUAAAUAAAAUGAUUCUAUUAAACACAAUCAGAAAUGCAGGAUUCUAAUUAAUUAAAAAGAAAUUUAACAGUAUAAAACUCCCUCCACCCAAGUUAAUUGGCUGAAUGUCCCUUUUAGGUUUUCCCAGAAUAUUGACAGAGUUUCCGUAUUUGUAUAAUUGAUUCCACUUAUCCCCCUUAUUAAUUAUUAUAACAUAGAAAUCAGAUUUGUAUACACCAUUUCCCUCAUAUAUUGUAAUUGCAAAUUUUAUUUUUGACUUCAAAUUAUACAAGUUAAAUGGUGUACGGGGUGCGCCACGCUGCAGAUCCCCAGAAUUUAGGGAAAUAUAUUAUGUUUGUACUCCGAGCCAGUGAUACAAGGAACGCCAAACGUGGCCACGUACGGCGACCCACUUCGUUCGUGCCCGAUUCCGGAACAAUCGCGACCGGAAACGCCUGGGUUCGCGACUUGAAACGCAGCCAGUGACGACUUAUAAAAGCAGGCGUGUUUUUGACUUCUAGUUCCACAAGAUGAUGACACCGAUAUUUGUCAAAGGAGAGGUUUAAUCAUUAAUGGUGUUCAAGCGACAAGCAGUAAAGAAGAAGAGAGGCAAAGAAGAAGAAGAGGUACAGAGAUGCACAACUUUUAAAUAUAUGAAGGAAACGCGUAGUUAAAUGAGUAUACUAUUAUGUAUCCAAGUUCCAAGCAUCUUUCCCCCCCCCCCCCCCUCUUAUUCACUCUUAAUUACUUGAUAUCUGUGCCUAAUUUACUCGUGAUGAUACAACUUUAAAAAAAACAAGAAGCAAGGGUGUAUCACCAAUUCAUCAUCCAACAAUAUUAUUUUAUUCAUGAAAAAGAAUUUAUCAUUAAAUAUUUAAAUCCAAUUUUCCCCAUUAAAAUGAUGUAAGAGUUAAUAUUCCUUUCAUAAAGUAGUAUAUUUGGUAAAUCGUAAAUAUUUUUAUAAAAAGUAGUAUAUUUGGUAACUUCCCUAAGUUAUAUACGUACUACUUGAUACUCCCUCUGUCCCAUUUAAUUCUAUACGUUUCUUUUUCACUGUUCGACACGCACUUCAAUGCUCCUAUAAAAUAUAGUUCAAUAACUUAUUUUUAAAAUUUUCUUUUUCUAAAUAAAAAUAGAACAUUCAUACUUUUAUUCAGAAAAGAAAAAUCUUAAAAAUAAGUUAUAGAACUAUACUUUACAGGAGCAUUAAAGUCCGUGCCGCGUCCCCGUCCCCCAAUGUAUAUAACUUAGGGGGACGGAGGGAGUAUUGAUUAAAAAAUAUUAUAAUUAUUUUCGUUUAAUCAAGUAUAAUAACUUAAUAUCUGAUUUUCUUACCGUCAAAUAAAUUAUUCAUAAUUUAUAAUCAAUUUUAUAUUAUAAUGAAUAUCAAUAUAAUGAUUGUUUGACAUUAUACGAUAAUUGACCAAUGUAAUUUAAAUAUAAAUCGUAGCUUUUACAAUUAACUUACAUACAUACUACUUGACAAUUGAUAUUGAUUAAAAAAUAAUUUACACUCAUCUAAUCAAUUAUAAUAAUUUAACAUCAGCUCGAUAUGAUUUUUUCAUAUGUUCACGACUCUAUAAGAUAAUUGACCAGUUCAUUCUAAAUAUAAAUCGUAGCUUUUAGAAAUAACUUAUAUACGUACUACUUAACAUUUGAUAUUUGAUUAAAAUAUAAUUAUAUUUCUAUUCACUUAAUCAAGUAUAAUAACUUAAAAUACCAGUGUGAUAUGAUUCUAUUUAUCGUUAAAUAAAUUAUUCACUAUUGGUAUAUAUUGCACCGUUUUUAUCAAAAAUCAUAUUUUAUAGUUGAUUUCAUAUGUUAUCGAAUAUCAAUAAUAUAAUUGUUUAGGAUCUUAUAAGAUAAUUGACCAGUGUAAUCUAAAUAUGAAUUGUGUUCGUAGUUACAAAUAAGCUAUAUACGUACCAUUUGAUAUUGACUAAAAAAGUAAUUAUAUUUGUAUUCGUUUAAUCAAGUAUAAUUAUUUUAUAUCAUCGUGAUAGAUAUUUUUUAUUGUAAAAUAAAUUAUUCCUUAAUGAUAUUGUAUCGAUCAAAGAUCAAAAUUUAAAAUUAUAUAAGACUUUAUAAGAUAAUUGACCAAUUUAAUCUAAAUAUGGAUGAGUACAUUGCCUUUACGAAUACAGAUAUGAUCAUUUUUUGAAGCAAAAUAUGAUCUUUUUUUAAUAGCUAAAUAAAUUCUUUUAUAAUUAUAUAAUAAGAUAUAAUCUUCUUUUAAUAAUUAUAUAUUCUCCUUUUUUAUUUUUUGAGCAAUUAUAAUAUCUUACGAUCAAUACAAUAUUAGUAGUUGAAAAGACACCCUAAUUUACACCUAAUAAGUCUAUAUAUACUACCCUGCUAACACAAUACUCACGUAUCACCUGUACCCAUUAAAUUCUUCUAUAGCGUUUGGUAAAGAAGAAGCCAAGGAGAGAGAGAAAACACAAGCAACACAACAGCAAAAUCAAAACCACACAUCAAAUGAAAAUAUUAUUGUAGAAGAUGAAGCUAGACCCCGAAAGGAAGAGGCAAAUCACAGUUCACAAACACCAAAUAAUAAAUAGCCAUUGUUGGAUGAAGUAAUUAUGAUUGAGGCACCUAAAGGUAAAAAUGCCGGGGGAACAAAAAAAUGGAGGUGCAAACAUUGCAACAAGUCAUUCAGCAGCUCGUAUACAAGAAUCCAUCAUCACAGCCUAUAAGCAGCUCAUCUGCUGAGAGAAUAUGGAGCACUUACUCCUAUAUUCACAAUGUUAAAAGAAACAAACUUAAUUUUGUGCGAGCUAAUAAACUGGUGUAUGUUCAUAGUAAUAUUAGAUUGAUCUCGCGCUUCACAAAGAGUUAUAAUGACGGACCAUAUAGGAAGUGGGAUAUCGAUCCUGAGACAUCUGAUUUAGAAGAUUCAGCUGCUAAAUUAGAGGAAUUGAGGUCCAUGGAAGGACUUGAAAAUGAAAACACCAUACCAACGUCUAUAAGGCAGAGAUUUCCGGACUCGUAAUGACCUGGUAAAUUAGCAAACUGUGUCACUGUACGGCAUGUCCUGAUGGGUUUUUUAUUAUGCUUAUGUAUGCUUUUAAGUUUAAAGUUUAAACUAUGAACUUCUGAAGUCUUAAGGAUUAUUUAUUAAUAUAUUUAUAAGUCUGGAAUGUGGAUGUUUAGUUAGUACUUUACUUUUGAUAAUCUUCUGUAGUUCAGUAGCUUCCGGAACAUAAAAUUUGAUAUAAAAUAUAUGAUAGGUCGUACCCACACGUUCCUUCGUAAUCGUACCUACACGUUCCCUCGCACCCUUACGUUCCCUUGCACUGGAAACAUUCAUGCCAACGUUUUACGUAUCCGUUUCCGUACCAUGUUUCGCACCCCAUCCUAUGUAACAUUGCUCCGAGCGUUGUACCCGAAUCCUCAUAUUUUAUGAAAUUUGCCGAAUUUACGUAUGCUUGUACACUCUGCGCCCAUACCAAGGCUUCCUAGUUUAGAAUGUUGUUUUUGGUUCCUAGUUCUACGUAAGGGGUGAGCAAGAAAACGAAUUAAAACCGAAACCGCUAAAAAUCAACAAAAACCGAACCGUAAAAAACCGAACUGAAAAUUUAAAAACCGAACCGAUUAUAAUGGUUGCGGUUUCAGUUUUAGGUUAAAACUGAACCGCAAAAAACCGAACCCAGCCGAUUAUAUAUAUAUAUAUAUAUAUAUAUAUAUAUAUAUAUAUAUAUAUANUGCCUUAUACUCCCAUUUGCAUUACUUAUUAAAUAUAUAUAUAUAGAGUCGUGCUCCAGUGAGAACCAAUCUUAAGGUGAGAUAUGAGAUCUAAUCUCAACCACUCAUUUAAAUACAUUAUAUUCAUCUCUCACCAUUCAUUUAAUAUUUUAAUAUUUCACCAUCUUCUAAUUCAACUACCUAUCACCUUCAACCACCGCUGACCACCACCACCAGCUCCGGCGACCACUAGAAAAUCACCGCCGGCAAACAUAAAAUCACCAACGAAAAACAUAAAAUCACCACCGGAAAACUAAAAAUCACCGCCAAAAAACCAAAAAUCAACGCCAGAAAAUUAAAAUCACCACAUCACCACCAUCUACAAAACACCACCUCCACCCCAAAAUCCGAAAAAUCACCAAAUACAAAAUAAAAUCACCAUCGCAAAAUGAAAAACACCAUUGAACAACGAAAAUCACCGCACCCAACCACAUACAAUUGCAUCGUCGCUAACAUCUGUAGAGAAGGAAUAUGGCAGCGAUGUGAAAGAGAAGGGCGAGGGAUUGACCCCGGUGGUGCAGCAGCGGGACGCCGCCGCGUAGAGGAAAAAAAAUCCAUGGAGGCGGCGGUGUUCAGACCUGUGAAGGCGGUGGGGCUGACCUGGGGGGUUACGGUGUCGUCGGCGGUGACAACCGCAUUGCGACACCGGCAACAGCACCAAAGAAAGAGGGAGGAGGAAGAAAAGAUUGCAGCGGUUAGAGGUGGAGAGAGAGAUGAGCAGGUGGUGAGCCGCCGCGGUGCUGCGACGGAGUCACGAUGUGGGGAGAGAGAGAGCAUAUCUGGGCGGCUGUGCGUGAUGGUGGUGUUGGGUGGGUGGUGGGAGGUGAAUGGAAAAUAAUUUGCAGAUCGGAGUGGUGGUGGCAGCGGCCGGAGAGAGAGAUGAGCAGAUGACCGGCGGGGGCGACUGGGUGGUGGUCGGUGUGGCUGUGCGUCAUGGUGGCGGGUGGUGGUGUUGGUAGGUGGUGGGUGGGUGAGUGGUGAAUGAAAGAGAUGAAUAAUAAAACAAGGGAAAUGUGUGGUUGUGAUUUAAUUUAGGGAUAAAAAUGUGGGGCUGAGAUUAGAUCUCAUAUCUCACAUUAGUUGUGGUUCUCAUUUGAGCACUUGCCUAUAUAUAUAUAUAUAUUUAAUUUAAGAAAAAUAGUAAUACAUAUGAAUACAUUAAUAUCAACUUCAUGUACAAACUGAAUUUAUCUAAGAUCCCCCGAUAUUCGGUUGUUGAAACUUUGAGAUUUCCUCGAGCUAAAAAAUUUGUGCAAUGAUGCAUACAAUUAAUUAAGAAAUCUUAAAAACUUAGAAUAUUAUUAGAAGCAGCAUAUCAAUAUUUCUGAAAGUAAAUGAAAAAUAUAUGUUUGAAAUACUAGAAAGUAUACACAAGUAAUGAAGUGGAACAUAUUUAGAAUUUGUAAGGAAUUGAUAAUUAUGGACUGAAACAGAAUGCAUGAUCACUUUUAUGUCAGGAGGGCUAUCCAUUUUUUUAAUAGAGGUUCUUCAUGAGCCUGUUUGAAAGAUUUAGUUCCGUAAACAUAAACGGGAAACUAAUUAUUUUAAUAACAUUUAUUUAUUCAGUUUGGAAGUAUGUUUCUUUUUUUUUUGUUUCUUGCGUUUUUAAAACCGAAACCGAACCGACGGGAACCGAUCUGAGGUUUUUGAAACCGAAACCAAUCCGGCGGUUCGGUUUUGGUUUUCAAUAUUAAAAACCGAAGGUUUGCGGUUUCGGUUGCGGUUUUAUGCUAAAACCGCACCGAGCCGCAUUUUGCUCACCCCUAGUUCUAUGUUACAAAAAUACAAGAAUCAAAAUUAUAAAUACAGAAUGAUUACUUAAAUGCUUAUACAUAUACAAGAUGUACUUUUGGUAUAUGUGUAACAAUGUGUAUCAAGCUGAUAGACUACUUCUGCUAAUUAUAGUCAAAACAGAAAGUUGCGAGUCCAAACCAAAUUUAUAUAAUCGACUUUUCGAGUUAAAGCUAUCAAAACUAGACACGACACACAAAGCCGACAUGAUUUUGAAGGGUUAGGGUUGCUUUCGAUUGGUCGGGUCGAAAAGGGAAAUGUCGAUUACCCUGCAAAAAAAAAAAUCAGGUUACAGGUCAGCUCGUAUAACCCGAAAAUAACUUGGAUAAUCCCUUUAAUCACUAUUAAUAACAUGUAUAAUAUACUUAUAUAAUGAAUGAUUUUAUCAUUAAUAAUAUAAUUAUUUAAUAUAUUUUUUAAUUAUUUAUUUAUAUUUUGUAUACAGUGUUUGUAUUUUGUUAUAUGAACAACAUAUUUCACAAUGAUAUUUUAUGCUUCAUGCUACAUACUAUAGUCUAUAAAAGAUUUUUUUCGCAGGGGUGUACUUUCUUGUACAAGAAGAAGAAUACAAUUUCAGAUGAAAAUACUUUUCAUCAAAUAAAGCUUAUCAUCUAACUGAAAACAUGCAAAAUGUUCCGACAAUAGAACUUUAUUACCAUCUGAAAAGAAGAUUCAAUCUGACUUGAAACAAAUGCUUAAAAUCUCGUACAAGUCACCUGAAAAUAGUAACACGCGAAACAAGGAGAAUAUGAGUCAAUAUAUAAAUAUCAUAAAAGUAAUAAAGGAUGUGUAUUUUGUAAUAAAUACGAGUGUGUGUAUUUAAUAAAAAGAAAUAUAAAUAUAAUCAGUGGCGGAACCAGAAGGGGGCUAGGGGAGCCCCCCUGAACUUGAAAAGAGAGCGUAUAUUUUUUUUAGCCCCGCUGAAUUAUAUAAUGAAGUCCAACGAAGGAAGAUCUUUGGUUAGACACUAAAAUAAAAUAAUAUAUAUAGGACUACCAUAAAACAUAAACAAGGCUACAAAGUGGUACUUAAUUGCCUCUAACAAGCUAAAAAUAUACGCCAUCAAUUAUGGCCACCCAUAAAUGGUACAAAAAUAGAUAUAUAAUAUGGCAAUUACUAAUAGGAGAUAAUUUCGAAUUUCAAAUGAUUAAAAUUUAAUGAGUCAAUCCCUAUUUAAGGAUAUAACGCAUGACCCAUUCCAUUUUACAAAAUUUGAAUGUAAAUUAUGCCUAAAUUUAAAUAACAUCACCACCGUAUACCUUUGUUGAACCACCGCCGCCUGACCAUUAUCACUUAUUUCGUAAUAAACAACACCCUAAUGCCUAGAAACAAAACAUAGAACUAGACAUAGUAGUAUAACAAAAUAUCUUUAAUAUUCACAACAUAUGUUCGACAAAACAUGUAUAAUAUAAAUCAGACGUAACGACCUUCAUUAUCAACAAGGCAUCAGAAGCACACAAGUUGUUCGAUAAUAUGCAUAAUUGACCCAUUCUCAAGAAUAACCAUAACAAUGCAUACAUACAGUUAAUAUGCAAUAACAUAAAUGGGGAAAAUGAUACUACAGAGAUAAAUAAGUACAAGGGGAUAUGCAAUAUAUAUAGGGCAUUGCUCAAAGAAAUGUUAUGAUGGUGUUCUUUGUUGUUCUUUUUUUAAAGUGUUCUGUGUGGAGUGCAACCCAUAUAUAUAUAUAUAUAUAUAUAUAUAUAUAUAUAGAGAGAGAGAGAGAGAGAGAGAGAGAGAGAGAGUGUUAAGUUCAAUGAAGUAUACAAAAACAUUGGAGUAUUGGAAUCCAAGUUACAAUUUUUUAGUUUAAUCAAAAAUAAUAUCUUUCAUUAUCCAAAUUUUUAUGUAAUUUAUCAUUUAUAAGUUGUCUUAAACAAAAUUAUCAAUCAAUCAAUAAUAUUUUUCAACUUUUACAAGUAUUAAGAUUCAUGUUCUGCUUAUUAGUUAUAUUGCAGAACAUAAUGUUCUCUGAUUUAUAAAAGUAAUUGUUCUAUGUUUUGAUUACAAUGUUUAUAUUGUAGAACAAAAUCUACAUGUUGUCGAAUAUUUACAAAUAUUGUAGGACAAAAAAAAUAAAAUUCAGAUGACUAGAUUAUAUCUUUUUUUAAUUUUCUACUCCAAUACUUCAAUGUUUAUGUCUACUCCAUAAAACUUAACUCUCUCUCUCUAUAUAUAUAUAUAUAUAGGCAACUGAUCAAAUAGAAACCAAUGUUAUUCUAGAAACUAGAAACCAUUCCUUGAAUCACUGUUUAUAACGACAUACAUCACUAGUUUCUAUGCUGUUAAUCACUAUUUUAUACAGUAUAUUCAUCAGUUUUUAUUUUUAAUAAUUGAGAAAAUUUACUUAUGAUUGACAUUGGUGGUCGAUUAUUGAUGAUCAAUUAUAGUUGUAGAAGGUCUAUGAUGGUAUCAAAUGACGGGAUGAGGUGUGUGGUGAUGGUAGAUAGUCAUUAGUAGGGGCAAGUUAUGAUGACAAACGGUGAUAGGCAAAUCAUGGUUGUAAGUGAAGGCGGCAGUAGUGGAAGGGGUUGGUAAUGAUGCCGGGAGUUUCAUCAAUGUAGUAUGAUUGAAGAUGAUGAUAAUAUACGUUGUAUAUAUCUGUAUUUAUAUAUCUAUAUUUGUCAGAUUUUGUAUAUAUAAAUUAAUGAUUUCUGAUAUACAAAUCAGUGAUUGUUGUAAUUAAGAACAGUGAUGAAAAAUUGGUCAGGGACUAGUUUUUAGUUUCUAGGCUAAUUUAGUUUCUAGUGGAGUAAGCCCAUAUAUAUAUAUAUAUAUAUAUAUAUAUAUAUAAGAAAUAAUGUAGUAAUGCUCAUACAUCUAAACAUACCAAGAGAGAGCCCGAGAUCAAUGACGAUGAUGCCAUGACGACUGUCAUCUUCCGACACUCCAGAUCAUUGUUGGCGUCAGAAUCGGCACCAUACAACAAAUGUUAUAAAUUGGAGAGAAUGUAUAACGACGAUGAUGAUGACAAAGGCUAUAUCAAGAUCGCGAGGGAGAGGGAGAUCACAAUAAGAAUUUGGCUAAUAUGAGUUCUCUGGGAUACCCUUUAAUAUAAAGAAAAUUAAUUAUAUCGUUUCAAAAAUAUUAAUUAUACGAUUAAAUAUGCCGCCCAACUCUUAAAAUUAUGUAGUGAUCAGAAUAAACUAUGUCACUUACUGGAUAAAUGGGUUAGCUGGUCGGGUCGGGUUGACCUGUUUAAUUAGCAUGUCGGAUCACAGUCAGAAAAAAAAAACAAGAAUUAGCUCUCGGAAUACACUUUGUACAAUGUCGACAGAGAAACAAACCAUAUAUGUCCAAAUGUCUACACAUAGAUAAAUAAAUAAAACAUAUAUGUUCAAGAGCCUACAAUGAAUUUGUGUCGGUAUACAAAGACACGAUUAAAUCUGUAUAUACAUACACCCACACAUAAACUCUUUUCUAAUAUUUAAGAUACGACCGACGCGAACUCAACCCGUGACCUAAAAUCGACAGCCCUAGUGAAAGUAGUUAUUGGAGGGACUAUUAAUAAUAAAUAAAAAUUAUAAUAAUAAACACUUGAUAUUUGUUCUGUUUUUGAUUUAAACAAAAAAUAUAAUAUGUUAUAAAUUAGUCGGGGAAAGUAAUCUAAUAUUCAAUACUUGGCAAUCACAACAAUUAUAGAAUAUAUUUAUUUUACUUUUGUUUUUCACAUAAUAAAAGAAGUCUAAAAUUCAAUGUUUACCAACUAAAUAAAACUUAAUUCCUAUUCAUUCUUAUAAGAAAAACAUCCACCACAUAAUAUAUAUAUAUAUAUAUCUAUUAUAUUUCACGUAUUGGCAAAAUUAUAUAUGGUUAAUGAUACAUAUGCUCUAAUGAAUAUUAAAAAACCUAAUACUAUAACAAUCAAAUAUUGAAUUACUUAUUAUAAAAAAUUGUGCAUUACAUUCAAAAAAGAUAUUAGUACAUGUAUAAUUUUUGGUUAAAAGGUAUCUGUAAAAAACUCAAAUAAUUAGUAAUAAAUUAUAGACUAUAUGUGCAUCGAACUGGUUAUAAACUAGUUAAUUAGUAAUAAACUAUAAUAUGUCUUGCAUCCUUUAUUUUGACAAGUUAGUUUUAUUCUUUCAUAGUUACAUAGAGUAUUUAUAAUAGGGCAAGGGGAAUUGAGGAUCCAAACCCGUAAGCCUGUCAUUGAAAAGGAUAAACACCUUUACCAGUAAUCUCCCCCUUGAUUCUAAUUUGUUUCAUAAUUGAUUGUUGGAAUCUUGUGAUUUGACUAGAGAAGUCAAAAGUAUGUUGAGCUGGUCCGUCGUUUUUUUUCUCUUAGAAAAAUUAAAGAUGGCUGCAUCUGCUCUGUGAAAUUAUAUAAUGUCUGAUCCAGGAACACUCCCAAAGUGUUUCAAAGAGGGGUUCUUGACAUAGGUCUGCCUAGAUUAAUCUAAUUUGGUCAGUAUAGCUGUAUAUCUGUUAUUGUUUGGUCAUCAGAUGGUUUCUUUAGUCUUAGACAUUGAUACCCCUGAGCUCUUGUUUAGGUGUGAUGAGUUACCUGGAGUUUCUAUCUAAUUUGGUAAGCUAACUGUUUGCUGGAUUCCAGUGUAUAUUCUUAAGUAGUGACUGCAUGCAUAGAGAUUUCACUGCUUUAGGUGUUGUAACUGCAACAUAUAACUACAAGCUGCACAGUUUAUUAAGAAAAUAUGAAACCAGAAUUUUGAAGGUCAAAUAUGUAAAGAAAUAUGAUAUGGUUCAUUAGAUGAACUUUUAUAUUGUUUUCUUCGCUGGUCUAUAAGGAAUGACCCUAGUAACCAGCCGGUUCAGGUCUACUGUAUAUGUUCUGUGUUUGAAGUUGAUUGGUACUUUCAUUGAGCAGCCAUUUUAUGUUGAUCUGUCCUGCUUAUCUGUUUUCUGAUGUGUAAUCCUUUCAGAAAUAGAAACAAACGAGUGUCUAGAAAACAAUGGUGGAUGCUGGCAGGAUAAAGCGGCUAAUAUUAGUAUAUUACAGCAUGCAAGGUGAUUGAGAUUCUUCUGUAUACCUUUAAAAAGUUUUAUCUUUUAUAAUUUACAUAUGAUCUUGCUGUAGGAUACAUUUUGUGGACGGGUAUGUUAAUGCCCAAUCGUGCAGGGAGUAAAAUUUUCUGGUGAUGGUUAUACUCACUGUGAAGGUCAGAGUUGAUUAAUAAAAAAAAAUAUCUGCCUUAAUACUCUUUUGUAAAAAAUGUGAUGCUUGGCAGGCCUUUAAACUCUGCGCCUCAUAUUUACCCGUUAUUUUGACAGCUUCUGGAUCUUUACGCUGUGAGAUUAACAAUGGAGGUUGUUGGACGAAAACCCAGAAUGGCAGGACUUAUUCUGCUUGCAUUGUGAGUAAUCUUUAUGACUUCUCACUUCUCGCAACUGGUGCAUAUCCCAUUUCAUUUAUUUAUGUCAUUUUUUCGGUAUGAAAUUGACAAUUAGGUAAAUGAUUUGUACACUCGGUUGCAACUUGCAAGGGUUUUGGACCUUAAGUACGAUCUCAUAGGGCAGAUUAAGUGCAUAAGUGCAAAGCAUCCAAUGUUAUGAUAUCAUACUUAGAACCAGGAGCUGUUUAAAUAUCAAUUGACAGUAUGUACAGGAAAGAAGUGAUGAAAAAGGUGGCAGUGGGUUGAACUUGGAACAAAGAUAAAGAAUAGAAGUAUUAUAGCAAAAUAGAGAAGAAAAAGGGUAAGAAGAGAAGACGUUAAAAUACAAAGGUAUGAGACAAAGCGAAAGAGUUAAACAAGAGAUGAGGGACACACUCAACUACUUAAGAAGGUGGAUAAUUGGACAUAGAUUAAGUGACCCUGUCAUAUUGGAAAAGUUUGGAAAAGUGAACUACAAUCGAGAAAUAUAGCACUUCAGCUUUAUUUAUGAAGUCUCUAAUGUGGCUUCGCACAGUUAUGCCCUGCAUGUUAGAUUUUCAGGCCUUGCCUUAAACGACAGGAUCGUUUUUGUGAAAAUUACAAGUUUCAUCCCAAAUAUAGUUAGCCCUGCCUUGUAUUGCUGUCAUAAUGAUGACAGUCAAUACUAAUUUAUUUAUUACUGUCCAUAGUUUUUAUUCUACAAAAGAUAUUCAAUUAUAUCAUGGUUUUUUUCCUCUUCAAUCAGAUAUAUUAUAUGAUUUUUUUCAGGACGACCAUACCAAAGGUUGCAAGUGUCCACCAGGGUUCAAGGGUGACAGAGUUAAUAAUUGUGAAGGUGCAUUAUGGUUCUUUUCUUGUUAAUGUUGAGUCUUUAGGCAAUUAUCUCCGUUCCUUAGUUAAUAUCUAUUGACCAUAUUCUGGAAUUGCUUUUAAAAUUUAAGUCCUAUUAAGAUUUUAAAGAGCAUCCCCAGAAAGCUGUGUAAGCAUACAGCAGAUAGUUUAAACAUUUCUACUAAAUUGUUUGCAUCUUUAACCUAAAUCAACUCUGUGAGCCUGUGGUAUGGAUCUUGGGAGUCUGUUUCAUGCAAACUACUAACACUAGUGUAAGAUUGUCCGCUGACAAAUUGUUUUUUAUGAUUCCAUUUAAACUGUAUGUCAACUGCUCUUUUGAUAUUCAUCUGGGUCUUGGUAGUAUGUUGGCAAUGUACGAGUUUCUCUGGAUAACCUUGAUACAAAGUAUAAGCAUAUUUGCAAACUUGGUAUAUAUUUUUUAAGUAUAUGUUUUUUUACUUAAUUCAAAGUUCUCUAGUUUUUACAUUUGUACUUCAGACUCUAUAAUCUGUAUGAUGUAUAAUAUACCAUGAAAGUACAAUUAAAAGUUUUGUGUGCAUCUGCCGUAAGGUUUCCUCAUCUAACCUAAUUUUUAAGAAUCGUAAUGGAUCAAUUUGAAUGUUGAAGUCUUAGAAAUCUGAUUCUUCUCAUAUAUAUAUAUAUAUAUAUAUAUAUGAUUUAUGCCAGAUAUUGAUGAAUGCAAAGCAAAAACAGCAUGUCAAUGCCCGGAAUUGCAAAUGCAAGAAUACCUGGGGUAGUUAUGACUGCAGCUGCAGUGGAAAUUUAUUGUACAUGCGUGAACAUGAUACCUGAAUAAGUGAGUAUUGAACUUUAAUAUGUGAUUCUAGUUAAACUAAACUAUCACCAUUUGAUCUAUUAAUUUGUUUGCUGGACGAAAUUUAUGCAAUCGUGCCUGCCUCGUUUGUUUAUUUUUUUAUUAUAAAUUCUUUGAUGACUUGAACUCAAGUGUUUUAUAUGCAGUAGUGUUAUUCUGUAAUUGCGCCCUUCUUCUAACACCUAAGGGUUUUAGGAGUGUUAGUAACUUAACGAGUAGUCUCCUUUGCUUUAACUGAGUUGUUACAAGCGCAAGGUAAGAAUUUAUGCAUGGACUGCCAAAUUUCUAAUAGUCUAGAAUUUUGUCGGAUGGAGUUUUGACAGUUAUGCUUUCAUCAAUUACGUAUAGGAAAGAAAAGAAUAAAGAAACUAAAGAAAUGUAAAAGCUUCCAUUGAAUUUUAUUUUGCAGCUAAAAGCAUUGAGUUAUUGACCAGAGUUGUUUGGUAUAGAAUACACUUUACAGUAGUUUGUAUAUAUUGAUUCUAAGUUGUGAAGAAAUCACAUUAUUAUCUACUACUUCUAAGAUUAUUGAUAGGCCUAUUCAGGUAAGGAUGUUAGUGCUGAGGUCAGCUGGGGCUUUGUUUGGGUUAUCUUUCUUGGUUUGGCUGAGGGUGGAGUCGGAGGAUAUGCAGUGUACAAGUACAGGAUUCGGGUCAGCCCUGAAUUUUCUUACUGCUGUGCUGUUUUAGUGUUCCAUCUAUAUCAGCUUAUAUAUGGAAUUCGGGGGUUCAUGUCAGAAAUAGAGAAAUAGGAGUCUAUAUAGUUGCAUAUUAUAAGCAUCACUGCACAUAUCAUAAGCACUACAGUUUGCCUUUGGAAGAACAUAUUUGUAAUAUAGUCACUUACCCUUUAAUAUCUUGUAAAAUGUGCAGAGAUUCGUGCAAUUAUGGCACAGUAUAUGCCCUUGGAUAACCAGCCAGAAGAUCUCGUUCAUCAUUCACAUGGGAGCGUCUAAGCGUGGAACAUUUCGUGAGGAAUGAACUUGGACGUUAGUAUUAGAUUAUCCUAGACUCCUAUUGCAGUCUGGCUUUGUAUUUGUUUAUCAUGGUGUAGUAGCUCCUGUACCUGACACUGGAUCACCUAAAUGACUUGGUUUUGAUGUGUACAAAAAUCGUUGUAUGACUUGUAGUUAUGUACAUUAUUACAACUUGUUUGCUGCAGACUGGAAUUUCGUUUUGGCGUUGAUGCUCUCAUAAUUUUGGAUAAAUAAUUGUGCUUGCACUAUCACACUACUACACCUUCUUUUCGGCAAAGAAGCGAGGCAGAGACUGCUAGAGUCUCUAGAUUGAACACUUGAACAAGACCAAUUGAACACAAUGGCUAGCAUGAUUCAAUAUAUUUGGCGCAAGUCAAAUGUCACUUAAUUUCUCAUCUCCAGAUAACUCACAAAUCUUAACUUGGCUUUUUGUCUGUUUCUGAAAUCUCAGGGAAGAAUACAUUAUUAUUAUGUCAACCUUCAUUAAUACUUACUCCUUUAUUUUAAAAUAUAGGCCGUUUGACUUUUUUGCACGUACUUUUAAGUCUUUUGACCGCAUGUUUAAAAUCAUUAUUUUUGAAAUUUUCAUUUUCUGAAUAAUAAUAUCAAUCAUAUUCUUUUAUUCAAAAAAAAUCAAAAAUAAUGAUUUUAAACAUGCGGUUAAAGACUUAAAAGUACGUGCAAAAAAGUCUAAGCGAACAGAAGGAGUAUAUUCUGGUCCUCGUCUCCCUGAUAUGUUGUUGUCACUUGUUACGCUUCCUCUGUGCAAGUACAUCUGCAAAGAGAUUAUUCAAAGUUUUAAUACAGCUGUCGAGAAAAAGUGGAAGAGAGAAUUAGCAAAAAUAAAUGGAAGAGAGAGAGAUAUGAGCAGAUAGAAACAUAAAUCUACGGCAGGAGGUAGAACAAAAGGGGUAUUGAGGCAGCCUGUCCUGUCUCUCACAUUUAAUAUUCAUACUUAUAAUAAAAUUAAAUGUAAAUUAUAAGUUAAUAAACGUGUUUGGUUUAAUAUAAUUCUUAUCGAAUAUAUCAAACAAGUUCUUAAUUAAACCAGUCAAAAAUUUAUUUGAAAAUUGGUCCAAGUAGACAUUGUUUCAAAGAAAAUAUUUAAUUAUGUUUUAGUUAUAAUAAUAAAAAUUUAUUAAAAUAUGUCUGAAAGUUCUAUAUUUGUCGGUGUUUGGACCUACCAGACUUUUUGAUUUAUAACAUGUUUUAAGAAUCUUUUCACUACAAUUAAAACCUAUUUAAACAUUUUUUUUGAAACAAUGUCUAUUUGGACCAAUUUUUAAUUAGUUUUUUGCCUGGCUUAGUUAAGAACUUAUUUAACAUAUCCAAUAAAAAAUGUUAACUCAAACACAUUUAUUAAUUAUUUUAAAUUUUUAAUUUAAUCAAAAAAAAUUAUUUUAAUUUAGAAAUAUAUAUUAAAAUUCUAACAUAAUUUUAUUUUUAAUAAUAAAAUCAAUAUUAUAAUAUAUAUAUAUAUAUAUAUAUAUAUAUAUAUAAUAAAAUACAAACAUAAUAUAAGCUAGUCGAUUAUUGCCUGUAUACCAAUUCCCUAAUUAAUUAAUGAAUCGAUUGUUUUUAAUAUUUCGCUUUCAAUAGUGUAAACAUAUUUUAAUUAUAAUAAAAUAAAAUGACACGUGUCAAUUGGUCUGAAUGAACAAUGUUUUUGAUAUUAUACUUUAAAUUAUAAUUAGAUUAUAUUCCAUGUGAUUUCAUUAAUUUUUAUAUUAAAUUUUGUUUUACAUUUAAUUUUAUUAUUUGUAUGAAUUGGUGUAUUUAAAUUAAUUUAUUUAAUAUAAAUUUUUAAUAACUAGAUUCGUUUGCUUAAAAACAAAUAGGCUCAAAAGAUGUUUUUAAGCUAUAAUAUAUUUAAGAAAAAUAAUUCAUUCGACAAGUUGUUACAUGGAAUAUAUAUAGUCUGCUGGGUUUCAAAUGGGUCCUCAGGGCCAGCACAGCAGGAACCAGAGAUCCAGGAUUUUGUGUACGAUCUUGAUGUUGAAGAGGGGGCUGUGGUUAUGCAGGCCUAAGAAAAACAUGCCGGGAAUGGUAACCCAAGGGGUGAGAAGGUAUGAUUUAUCCACCUAAAAGGUUUGGGUUCCCAUUCCAUUCUAUAGCACCAAUUAACUAAUCCAAACGCUUGUUAUCAGAUUAAGGUUUCGGUUCCCGGGCUCACCCCCUAUAUUGAUAAGCUAGAGAUAGCUCAAGCACUGCUCAUAAAUGACGGCAGAAGUUAUCAUGAAGUUAUGGCGUCAAACUCAAGCUAAUUACGGAGAUACACAAGGUGCAUGAUUUUGUAAACCACAACAUGCUAGAUAUAGUAAAAUAGAGAUAUGUUAAAGUAUACACAGAUGACCUCAUGUUGUACAGUAAUGAUGAUGACCUAGAUUAAGUAGGGUUUCUUAUUUGCACUAAAAGAGCUUCUUUCUCUUACAUUGUUUCUCAGCUUCAUCAGUUAUAUAAAGAUACACAAAAUGCAUAUGAGUGUAAGUAGAUGUUCAGUCUGCAUUUACUCGUUAUAUUUUUAUCGUAUCUUGGAGUUAAAUGCAUUUAACUCGGUGCCGAGAGUUAGGUUGGCCACUAAAUUCCUACUCAUUUUGAUUGAUAAUUCUUUUCGAAUAUUUUCUUCUCCGGGAAAGAGAAAUGGAUGAAGAUUCAAAAUCACACAUGGAACGCCGUAUGAAUAGUUAUAUGCAAAGCAGAGAAGAUCAAGUAUUUCACAGAAGGACUCGAUUUGCACUGGACAUGGAUGGGAACAUGAUAUUUGAUGACGAUGGAUAUAUGCGUCACCAAAACGAAGAAAUUUUUCAUGCAAACUGCCGAGUAUUAUAAAUUUAUAAGGUUGAUGGGGAGGAGAUAACUCUGUGUAAUCAAGUUAAUUACACAGAGGAGUCAGAUCAUCUCACCGUUUUAUACUCCAAGGUACGAAAUUUAUUAUUGUUAGCCUGUGUAAGAAAUUCUGGAACCCAGUUUGAUUUCAAUAUGAAGCAAAAAAAGCACAACUUGUUCUUUGAUUUUUGCCGUUGAUGAGCAUGUUCUUGGCUCCAUUUUUCACUUUCAAAAGCUGAAAUUCUUAAAUAUAUUCUUUAGCUGGGGUAUUAAAAUUAUAAAUGAAAAAUAAUGCACCUAUACUUUUUAUGGCCCAGGUGAUUUGCAGUUGCAGACUCUGAGUUUUCAUUUUUAGUUCAAGUAUCAUAUAAUAUUACAAGAUAAUAUAAAAUCUCAUACACUAAUAUUUUUUAACCCCUGACCCAAUGCAGGUAGAGAUCUCAGAUUCACCCGUACAGGACAUCUAUAACUUUUUUUCUCAGGCUGGAAAGGUUAGUUGUUAUAGAGUUAAUUCGGUCCUUUUAAAUAAAUUUAUAUGCCGAUAUUAAAUUUUAUGAAUCUUUUUUCUACAUAAAAAAAAAUCUUCUUCACAUGUAUUGCCUUUACAGAUCAAAACUAUCAAGAUUAUGAAAGAUGAGAUUCAGAAGAAAUUAUCAGCGUAUGUUAUCGUUGUUGUUAGUGCUUUUAUGCAUAUUUAUUCAAUUUUAGACGGUUUAUUUAGGAGUUGAUAUAAUAAUUUAGUGUCACAUUCAAGCACAAAAUUUUCAUAAUUCUUCUGCUGACACCUAAACCUAUUAUUAAGAGAGUUUUGACGGUCGUUACAGUUAUUCCCCUUACUGAAUUUUAAUUUUGCUCUUCUUAAUGUUUGUUUUUUCUUCUAAUUUGUUAAUAUUUCAUUGAAUAUGAGUGUAAUCAUCAAAAAAUGAUCUAUACACUAUAAUAUGAGAUACCAAUAUAAGCAGAUGCAAGAUCGGAGCUAGAAUUCAAAUUCAUGAUGGAUCAAAAAUAAACUUCAUUUUAAAUAUGACCAUACCAAGAUUCUUCGAAAAUUACAUUAGGCAAUACUAGUCACUAAUUAUUAAUAAGCAAAUAAAUAUUUCAUUUAGUAAUUACUGUUUUUGUUUACAUGUUCCCUAAUAUUGUGUUGGGUCAAAUGUCUUAAAAACAUUUAACGGGAAUCAGACUUAAAUAAUAAAAUUACGGAACAAAGAUUAAUCAUGAAUUAAUUGAAUUGAUCAGAAAAUAAUCAGAUUGAUCGGGGAUUAAUCACCGAAUUUUAGAACAGAGGUUAGGGUGAUAAAAUGAAAUCGAAUAAAAUGCUUAAAAAUAAAACAAAAUAUUAUAAAUAAAAAGAAUUUUUUGAUAAAAAGCGAUGAAGAUAAAAUUACUAUUAUGAGAUUUGAGAAUAAAUUGACAAGAGGGAGAAAAUGAGCGUGACUUCUAGCGACCAAAUUUAUCUUGAGAUUAUUCCAAAGCGUGAAUGGAUUUUUGAUAGUGAGAUAUUCCAGAUGUGAUGCAUAAGAAAUGUUAUUGCUCUAACAUUUUUUUUAGUAGUGGGGAUUUUUUUUGAGUCUUAAACCUUUAAAUUGUUAGCACGCUAAGAUGUAAUUCACAUCAAGGAGACAAGAACCCAAGAUAGAUAAUUAUACCCAGAAAACAUCCAAAGCAAAAAACUCUAAUUUUAUGAGGUUCGUCAUUCUGAAUGUAAAAUAAAUAUUUAAAACAUGACAUAUCAAUAUUUCGAGUUAAUACACAAACAAUUAAAUAUCUACACAAUAAGAAAAACUAAAACUAAAAAAUUUUAACGGCAUAGCCGUCAUUGUUGACCAAUCAAGCAAUGAUAACUUUAUAAGGAAUGAAAAUGAGAUAAUAAAAAAAAAAUGAAAAUGAGUAGAGUUAGAUCGUAUCUUAUAUGCUAGUCAAUCUUAAAAAAAGACUUGUGCUUAUAUUGCUAUGUAAGGCUCGGUUAGAGUCUCGUGUUCAUAACGUGUUGUAAAUUUUUAAUUAUUUAUUAUAUAUAAAAAAUAAAAGAUAUAGAUAAAAGAGUAAGAAAGAGACUACAGAGAGUGAAUUGUUCUUUGAUAGUGAUUUUGAUAUCUCAUGCAACUCUUCUAUUUAUAGAGGUGAUUUUGAUAAACAUGCAAGAUUUAUUAAUCUAUAGCUAGUUUAGAAGUGCAUAACCUAAUACUUAAGUAAUUUCUGAAUAGGUACAUAGUUUAAUAUUGAAAUAUUCUUAAAAUACGUGCAUAGUUUAAUACUUAAGUAUCUCGAAAUGCGUACAUAACUUCUUUAAUAAUCUAUCACUUGUAUAUAUCCAAACAAUAUCAAUAUUUCGAGUUAAUACAUAAACAAAUAAAUAUCUAUACAUUAUGAAAAGCAAAAACUAAUCUAGCCGCAUGACAUCAAUAUUUAAACAAUCAAGCAAUAAUCACUUUACAAGUAAUGAUAAUGAGUGGAGUUAGAUGGUACCUUAUAUGCUUAGUAAAUCUCAAAGAAAGGCUCGUGCUUAUAUGCUAUGUAAAGCUCGGUUAGAGUCCCGUGUCGUAAGUCUUCAAUUAUUUAUUAUAUGUGAAAGAAUAAAAGAUACAAAUAAAAGAAAAAAGAGUAAUAAAGAGAAUAGAGAGAGAAUGAAUUGUUUUGUGAUAGUGAUUUUGAUAUCUCCGCUCUAUUGUUAAUAAACUAAGAAUUAGGAAAACAAAAUAGAUCAUAUAUCUAUGACAACUUAGAAUAAUAAAAUAUAAUAUACUAAAAUUUAAAUGCUAAUAAUUAUUAAUAUUAUAUUUUUUUGUGAAGGAUGAAUAUGAAACUAGUGUACGAAACCUCUACAAAACACCGACAUGCGACUUAAAUAAUAUUUUAUUUACUUAUUUAUAAUAUUUGAAUUUGAAUUAUAUAAUUAUUUAAAAAGUGAUUUAAGCGCACGAUUGAAGAUGCUCUAAGAAUUUAACUUUUAGUUGUCUGAGUCAUUAUUUUUAGAUAAUAUGCCGGCCCCAUAAUAUAUUAGCACAUGUUUUUUUUUUUGAUAAAUUAAUGAAAUGUUUUUGUAUCGGAUUUUUUUUUGUGUUUGACUUUUGCAUGGGUUAAUCAUGCAAAUCUUUUUUCAUCUUUGAUUAUGAACUGAUAAUUACUUUUACAGGGAGAUUGAGUUCGAGUGUUUCAAAUCACUUGCAGUAGCCAUGGCAAUUGCGGUGAAAAAUAAGUAUAUGAAUGUAUGUACAAAGGAAAGUAUUCAUGUUGGUAGCUUUCCUUUAGAAGAAAUUGAAGUCAGCGAAGGAGGUGAUAUGUCAAUUAAAGAUGUAUUCAAUCAAAAAAUAUAUAUUGGCUUUUCUCACAUUCCUAUGACCGUCAAUUGGUUGAAAAAGGUAAACUUUGAUUUUUUACGUCGGGUUAAAAAGUCAAACAUCAAUUAAAAUCGGACGGAGGAAGUACGAUUCAUUUCCGGUGUCGCAUAAAUGUAAACUAUUUUCUGUUUUAUGUGCAGAUAUUUGAGGUGUUCGGUGUUGUGCAAAAACUCAUGAUACCACGCCCCCACAAACUUUCGCACUUGGGAUAUGCAAUCCUGCAAGUGAGAUUAUUUUCUUUUACUCGACAUGAAUAGUAUUAGUAACUCUCUUUAGACUAGCCCCUCUGCCCAACUAAUAAGAUUUUUUUUUAUUUUUCUGGUAGUUCGAUAGUGCAGAAGGUGUGCGAGCUGCUCUCCGUUUGGACAAGCAACUGGAGUUUAUUUAUCAGAACGUAACGGUAACACAGUAACAGUAAAAUUGCUCUCCUUUUUUAAAGCAGUGUACAGAAUUGUUUUUCUAAGAAAUUAAGGUUGUAUCUUAUAGGUAGAGAUGCAAGUUACUGCACUUGAUGGAACAGAAUUGAGUCAUGACGGGGAAACAUAUACUACAUGUAAGGAUCCCGUGGAAGAUGAUGGUUCUUUGUAAAUGCAGACUCUUCGAAUAUAAGGAUCUCGUGGAAGAUGAUGGUUCUUUGUAAUGCAGACUCUUCGAAUAUAAGGAUCUCGUGGAAGAUGAUGGUUCUUUGUAAUGCAGACUCUUCGAAUAUAAUGGCAUUGGCUAUGAAAAAGUGUAACUGCAUCAUUUUUUAUGACAUUAGUAUAUAUGUUGCCGUGAAUAGCAACAGAUUAACUGAUUGCAUUUAGUUUUAGCCUUAUUAAGAGAUUAUGAGACUUUUUUCUAGAACUAUCGUCUUCCCCUGGUGUUUUUGUUUGACAAUCCCAGAAAGGGAGACAAUAUAUGCCAAUCAAAUUAAAAUUCAUGCAUCGGACUCAUUAGUCAAAAUACAAUUUACACAGUAAAUUGGCAAAGAAAUCGUACAAAUCUUCCAAAAAUAAAAAUAUCAGCGAUCAGCACCAGGCAUUUGUAGCUCUUGCCAACAGUUUUUGAAUUCUCAUGCACACAGCAAAGCAGAAGACCACCAAACUCAGUAAUUGUAGCCAAUUAGGAUUUACAUUUGUGCAGGUAAAGUCAGCCUCUCAGUUGGAUCAUAAAGACACACGUACAUCCCCUGCAAGAAUGGAGGAUUAACGACAAAUAAUUCACCGUGACUACAUUUUAAGCUUAAUGUUUUGUACUGUAUUGGAAAACCUGGGCAACAUCAUGCUAGUCUGGCAUUAGUCUAUAUGUAGAGCCAAGAAUGAGAGAUUACCCGGAUGGUCACUAAGAGCAGCCUUAUAUAGUUUCAUUAGCAUGCAUUACAUCAAGACCAAUGAACCAUGAUCCAACACUGACAUCAUCAUCUGCAUAUAAACAGAAGAUUGAUCCACAAAAAAAACUCUAUAUGUUAAUUUGCAACUUAUUUGCUCCACAACCUUUAACCACUAUAUCCCUUCAUUAACAAGACCGCGUAACUCACCCUUUUCUUCUUCUUUUUUUCUUUUGCCACAGGGUUAUGUAGAUCACUCAUAAGUUAUCACAACCAAAGUGAAAGAUGAUUUUUAUUAUCCUAGAGACUGAGAAACUAGAACUUCCAUGACCGCCUGUAUCAUUUCACAUAGGACAAAAGACUGAAAACUAGCACCCUACCUGUUAAUUACGAUAAAAUGAGCCAAUGCUCGUGGAAUUGCAUACAUCUCACUGGAGGCAUGCAAGAUAUUAGAAGGCUACAUUAAUAUAAUUCAGAAGAUUAAUCAUCAGCUUUAAGAGAAAAUAUCACGAUCAUACGUACUACUUCGAUCUUCGAGUCCUACCAUAAGCAAACUAAAGUAAAUAAUUAAUAAAAAUAUUUAAAAUUUACAUAAAAUUUAGUAGCGCAAGUUGGUUCACAUUAUAUAUAUAACCAGUAACUUUGACAUACAAUUUAUACAAAAAAUAAUUUUCCAGAAGGCGCAUUGACUUAUCCUCAUCCAAAAAGCCCAAAUAAAUUUCAAACUACAUACUUCCUUCCAAUUGUCUUGAACCCAAUCAUGAGUGGAAAUUUAACCGUCGGACCAGUUACUUACAUUGGCUGCACAUCGAUACAUCACUGAUAUGACCUAUUGAUCCAAAUACCCUAACUAUUCUUGUUUGUGCAAAAUAACAUACAAUUGCGAAAACUAUGGCUUAGAGUUCAAAUAAACUAUAUCGGGAACGAAGAGUAUAGCAACAGUAACAAUGAUCCACGUUUAAUCAUUAAUGUCUGCCUGUUAUAUUAGUAACUAUGACCGAAGUGGGCAUUAGAAAAAAAUUGUGAAAUGCUAAUAAAUACACAAGCACAGAUAUAAUCGACAUAGUUAUACUCAUGAUUCUGUAUGAUUUGCUUUGUUGCUAUGGAAUAUCUACACAUGAAAAUAACAUUGAGAUUACCUACUAGGUUGAAAUACCCUGAAUCAAACAGCCCUAUUGUAUUUAUAUUACAUCUUAGUAUAGUAUUAAGUAAUUUUUGUUAUGUAUUAUUAUAACCUUAUGAUACUUCCAUAUUUGUUAUGCUAGUCCUAAUUCUGAUUGACAAUUUUCGUGUAUCAUUAUAAUACCUAUCGAGUAGCUUUCAUUAAUAAUUGAUCCACUUUUGGAGUUGAUGCUGCAUAAAUCCUAUUCAACCAGCUGCAACAAUGUCAACAUUAAGGUAAGCUACAGCCCUUGAGGCUAGCCUUUCUCUAUUCUCAUUAACCUAUCAUAUUGAUCCUAUCUGAAAAAUGGUAACAACUUAAAUUAAGUGAAUUUAAUUGUGUGCAUCUCUAGUUUGUGUUCAGUGAAAUAGAGUUAGAAAAAGAGACCAAGCCAUACUCUUUUGCGUCCCAAUUAUAAAAGAUGAAGGUCAAUCUUGGUUUUCACCCCUUUUUCUGCAAAUUCCUUAGCCUAUCAGCAACACAAUUACAAAGAUGAUUGUCAAUCUUGGUUUUCACCCCUUUUUCUGCAACUUCCUUAGCCUAUCAACAACCUGAGUAAAGCAAGUAAUCAGGUGUGUCCGCAUGGGGAAUGUUAAUACUUUAACGUGGAGACCUUGAUCUAAGCAUACCUUUAUAAAAGAGCCUGCAUAAACCCUGCAUGACCUGAAGUAAAGCUGUUGUGCCGCUGUUGGGUCAACAGCUCCAAAAGUCCAAGCCUCCCGAUAAUUACCUUUCUACAAAAAAGCUUAAUCACUUUAAUAAAUCACUGUUAUUCUGUGGAUUUAAAUGUAUAUAUCCUUCCUUCACUAACACAUAUAAAUACUUGACUUUAAAAAAAAAACUGAUAAUAGCAUAGUGAAAGGAGGAAUCCUCACUUUCUCUUCUGAACCACCUGGGCUUCGAGCCAUUUUCUUGUAUUUUUCUUGAGUGCAACAUAACACACCCAGACUUGAAGCAUAUUUCCAUCCGUAGCCCAGCUCCAUUCAAGAAAUAUAUACUCAGAGAACCACAUUGACCGGCCUAUGACCUGCACAUAGAGCAUUAAAUUUAAUGGCAUUAUCCUAAAAGACUUAGAUGUUUAACAAGGUAGUAUAAAAAUAUACCAACUACAUAUGAAAAGGAUUGAAGAAACUAUAAAUAUUUGACUAAAACUUAAUUAUUGAGCAUGUUUUCCAGUGAAUAAUUUAAGGUACCAUUAUCCAACAACAAAAUCAUUUAUUCAGUUACAGAGGAAGGUGUCAAAGGUACCCAUAAACAAUAAAGGGGGCUCCAACAGACCAACCUAUAAACCACUAAAAAAGAAAAUACAUUGGCUAAACAAAUUGUUUAAGUAGAAAAUUUGCAAACUUUGACAGCAGAACCGAACAAGAAAAUUAUUGAAGGAGUUACACAUAUAGCUCGCCUAGCCUAGGAUACCAAAGUAAGUGAGUACCUUUUAAAUUUUUUCCAAAUUUAUGUAGUAUGUUGAGAGUUCAAGUCACGUUCUUGUAAAGAGGAGAAGCAGCGCAGAUUUUAUCAAAUACGGUUCAUCUAAUUUGGCUAUUUUUGAAUGGACCAUAAUUUUUCUAUUACCAGUGUCCAUGGACACAAGUGAGCAGAUCCUGGACACCCCAAAUUUCAAAAAAUCAUAAAAAAUAUGUAAGUCCUCAGUUGGACAGCUACGGAGUCCAUGUAAAAAGGAACCAAUUCCACCCCCUUUUUCAGUUUCAUGAGUAUUUAAGAAAAGCAAUUAAAAAUCCCAGUUUCAACCAAGAAAGUUUUAAUCAAGUUCUUAUAAUGAAAAAUCCUUAGUGAACAUUUAACUCUUCAGAGAAAUUACAUUCAAAGUGAAUUUAAAGCACUUACAGGGAGGAACUUGGAUGAUUUCUUCAUAACAGCUAAGCACUACCAAGUCAACCUUAUCGCUGGUGUGUGAAACAAUAUAAUUAGCAGCGCACAAAACAUAUAGUAAUAAAAACUUAAUUAUGUAAAACAUUGCAAUUUAAUUUUCCUUGACCUCCAAAGGUUAGUAGGAAGUACGGAAGCAAUGGGCAAGGUAUCCUUCUUGAUGUAGAAUUCUUUCGAACUUUACACAUAGGUCUGCAUAAUAAAACUUAAAUGUUAUCAGACUUAUUUAUUCUUAAAACAAUGUAAUUCAGAUAUAUUAGAGCGAUUCAUUAGAACCAUUCUUUCUUUACGCAAUCUAACACAACUUAGAACCUACUGGCAAUAGAGCUUUACUUUUCUGACAACCUACGCAAGCCAAGUUCUCCUGCCUUUUAGCCAAAAACCAAGAGAGGCCAGAUUAAUCUCGGUGCGUUUUAUAUCCAGCUUGGUAUAUUUGCCUCCAAAAGUUGCUUUGGAGCUGCAAAAACAGGUAGUUGGUAACAAGGUUGUUUACAACAUCAGAGGAACAUUUAAGGUAAGGGUCAAGUUUGGUUUGAUUCACUUCCACUACUGGUUGCAUAGAAGAUGCCAAUUAGAGCUGACAAGUCCUCCAACUGGCAUCCUUAUCACCAGAAGCUGUAAAAUUAAGAGAUGAAGAAUGCAUUCUUCCCCAAUGCUCGUGGAAUUGCAUACAUCUCACUGGAGGCAUGCUGAAAGUAUCUAUGUACGAUAAAGAUAUUAGCAGGCUACAUUAAUAUAAUUCAGAAGAUUAAUCAGCAGCUUUAAGAGAAAAUGUCACGAUCAUACGUACUACUUCGAUUUUUCGAUUCCUACCAUAAGCAAACUAAAGUAAAUAAUUAUUAAAAAUAUUUAAAAUUUACAUAGAAUUUAGUAGCGCAAGUUGGUUCACAUUAUAUAUAUAACCAGUAACCUUGACAUACAAUUUAUACGAAAAAUAAUUUUCCAGAAGGCGCAUCCACUUAUCCUCAUCCAAAAAGCCCAAAUAAAUUUCAAACUACAUACUUCCUUCAAAUUGUCUUGAACCCAAUCAUGAGUGGAAAUUUAACCGUCGGACCAGUUACUUACAUUGGCUGCACAUCGAUACAUCACUGAUAUGACCUAUUGAUCCAAAUACCCUAACUGGCAUCCUUAUCACCAGAAGCUGUAAAAUUAAGAGCUGACAAGUCCUCCAACUGGCAUCCUUAUCAACAGAAGCUGUAAAAUUAAGAGAUGAAAAACGCAUUCUUCCCCUGUUUUAGUUCAUCUCCACUGAAAUUUCUUUCACAACAAAAAGAGUGAAAACUUCAAAUGUAUAGAUUGAUGUCAUGCAUAUGGUUCUGUAUGCAGAAUUAAUUAUCACAAAAACAGAAAGACCUUAUAUUAUAUACUAAUUGCAUAUUCCAUAGAAAGUUCUAACAAUUUAAUUAUACAAGAGUAUCCUCAAUAUCAAAAUAAUAACACAAGCACAAAAAUAGAUGACACAUUGACAAGCACCAAAAAGACAUUCUAUGGAAGUAUUAGAAAUAUGUUCUUUAUAUCUAUUCAAGCUCACAUAAAACAAAUUGCAAAAAUGUAGACUUGCCAUGGGAAUGAUCAAUCAUCUCAAAUAACCUAAGUAGACUUCAGGCUGUGAUAACUGUAAAAUCCACAUCAAAAGAAGCCCACCACUACUAAUUAUUUUUCUAGAGUACUACCAACUAUGUAUCUGUGUGUGAAGGUGAUGGAAAGUGUCAUAGAAUGAGGUAGCACCAUCAGUUUCCUAAUUUGGAGAUAUAAUUAUUUCAUACCAAUGACUCAUUCUAACAAGAUCUUAGCGCACCUAUACGUUCAAAAUCUAAUUACCAUAAUACAUAAACAUUAAAAGCCUAAAUGGAGCAGAGUAAAGGAAUAUACCUAAGGAGAAGCAAAGACUUUUUGAAGUAUAGAACCCUUUUAGCAGCAUUCGAUUCAAGCAUCUGGUAUAUUACAAAGAGGGAUCUAAUAUCAUCAACUAAAGACCAUCGAUCAUAUAAUUGCAGACAACAAUAUGGAAUUGUUUAGUUAGGAACAUGUAGCUGGGAUGCUGCAACACGUCCUUCAAACAUCCUAUGAUUUGGGCUAAGUGUAAGAAUUGCUUGAACAUCAUAAACUAUACAAGCCAGUAUGAGGGCAAUGUACAUAGAACAUAAACAUCAUUGACUUUGAUAUAGAAUAUAUAAAAAUUGAACUCAACUAAGACUUAAUAUGCAUCAAUAAAAAAACUCUUGUUCAACUACAAUAAUAGCAAUUUCAUAUAAAAUAAAAUUUACUUAACAAUUAAACUAAAACCGUCCAUAAUAUUUUCUCUGAGCUUCAGCUACAUGAAAGUCAUUAUUUAUGAUUGUGGAUGAGUCACGCACAUUCACUCCCUUGGGAUAGGCCACAUGUUCAAAUAAUUUGACAGGAACCAUUCCAUAUCCCUCGUAUCCCCAAGAUUUCCAUGUGUUUUUUAUCAAAAAACAUUCAGUGCCCUCAUCUUCAUCCCCAAUGUCCAUGUCAUCAUCGUCCUCAUCCUGGUCGCCAAUUCUCUUGCCCUUGUCGAAUCCAUAACCUACAAUGUAGACCAUAUGGUCUGGACAAUGCGAUUUUCCGCUUGUAUCAACAGGUUUGAUUGGCGAAAGACUUCGAUUAUAAUUAUAACGCACAAAGUUAUCAUAAUUUGAAAACAACCCUCCAACUGCAGGAUGUUUGGUUUUUAUUAUCGGUAUCGCCUUUUCAGCCUCCAAAAUUCGGUAGGUAUCAAUGAAUAUUCUUUCAGGAGCUGUUGUUCUGAGGGCGUGAAAUUGUUCCAUCGAAAAUGGGGUAAAAUUGUUUCCGAGGAGAGGUUGCUCAUACAGAUAAUCAGACUUAAAAAAUGUACCAAAACAUUUCAAAUACUGAAAUAUCUCUGGUACAGUUGCCCCGAAACCAUUACCUAUGUCGUAGGGCGGCCACACAUAUUGAUUCACCGAAUGAGCAGGAGGUUUCGCUUUCAUAUCGAAAAAAGAGCUCAAAAAUGGCAGCCAAUCCCGCAUCUCACUGGCUGUGAUAGCCUGUAUUUUCCUUGUAAAAAAAAAAAAAAAAAAAAAAACUACUUUUCAAUGGUGUUUAAAACUUUGAUAAAAUAUAUUUCUAUGUGAUUAUAUUUGAAUACGUGUGUUGUUAUUUUAUAAGAUUUUAUAUACUGAAGUGUUAUCUCUAAGCAAAUAUUUAGGCCAGAACUUCCGUUAGCAAGUGGAUAGAUCUUAAUUCAAAAUAAUGAUCACGUACCCAUAAUUGUAGGAACACGUUGAACCAAGUAUGUACAUAAAUACACGUACUUGUUUCACUUAUUUUCUUGUACAGCUCUUCUCUUCUAAAAGGUAUGUCUAUGUUUAUGUCCUGCUUAUGUGCUCUGCUCUGCUAUACACUCUUGGCUGAUAUUUGACAUUAUAUGUAUAACAUGUUUACUACAGUGAAUUUAGUUUGUCACUGUGUUGUGUAUAUACAUGUCUAUUUUACUAGUUUUACACAUACUGUUGGCUACUGUAUAUUAUAUGUUUUCUAUUAUUGUAUAUUAUAUGUCUUCUAUUAUUAAGUGUUUGUGUAAUAUCUUGUUUAAAGUUUCAUGCCUUUAUCUUUUGUUAAUUAUUUUACUGUAUAUAAUGGAGUCUGAUUUUUUAUUAGAUCUCAAAAUUGUUUUGGAGUGAUUAAAAUUAUGUUUAUAAUUAAUUUCUGAAAAAUAUGCUUUUAUGUAUAUAUGCAUCAAUUUUGGAUAUGAAUAUCUUUGAUUUUAUAAUUUAAUAUGCAUGUUAAUCUUUUAUGAAUUAUAUUAGAUUUACGUAAUUAAUAUACAUUAUUUUAUUAAAACUAUUAUUAUUUUAUGUCACUCUUGUCAAUUAUAAUAGUAGUAUUUUAAGACUAAUGUUUACUUGUAUAUUUAUGAACAAAAUUGUUUAGUAAAUAUUUGUGGAGACUUGUAUAUUAUGAGAUUGUUUAAUAUUGUGUGUUUAUAUUUGAUUGGCUACAUAUGUAUAAAUUAUUAGUUUUUGUUGAAUUCAGUUUACUGGAGUUUUGGGAUAUGGACAGAUAGGGUAAAUUGUGAAUUAUUUGUAAUCUGUUUAGAAGUGAUGGAUGGGCUUGUUGAGUGGGCUUUAUGUGUUACUUGCACAGGCUAUUUGUAUGUGUUCACGUCAAAAUAGGUUAACUGUGUAUACAAUAUAAAAUUAGUUUAUGUAUACUUGUACUGGCUUAUAAAAAUGUUAUGAUUAUUCUAUGCACUUAGUUUAUAUCUUCUUUUAUUUAUUUGUAUAAUUGUUAAGAUUAGUUAUAUGAUUAAUGGCUUAAUUUAAUUACUCUCAUUAAUAAAUUUUGUAAUAUAUGAGGUUAUUAUAUUUUCAAAAGACAAACUAUUUUAGAGAGUCUCUUUCUUAAAUCAUUUUUUUUUAUUAGAGUUGCAUAUUUAAUUAUGUGCCAAGCUAAAUUUAUUUUGUAUGAUUAUAAUAUAUAUAAGUAAUAUUGGACCUUAUUAUUAAUGUCAUGUUUAAUUUAUUUUAGGAAUAUGCAAAUUGGGUGCAACAUGUAAUAAUAUUAUAAUAUCAUUUAUCGAUAUUUUUGUAGUGUCUCUCUUGUUUUAAAAUCAUUGUCAUGAUAUUUUAUUUAAUUAUUUAAAUUAGAUAUUUAUCAAGUUUUGUUUUAUUGGUUAGGAAAUCAUUUGAUCAUUGAAUAUUGUGCAUCGGUGUUGCUAGUUAAGGUAAGUUAACUUUUCAGUCUUGCUAAUGUAUUUAUUUGAAACUUUGUUUUGUUUAAAUAUUUGGUUCAAGUUAACUUGUUGAGUGGGCUUUAUGUGUUACUUGCACAGGCUAUUUGUAUGUGUUCACGUCAAAAUAGGUUAACUGUGUAUACAAUAUAAAAUUAGUUUAUGUAUACUUGUACUGGCUUAUAAAAAUGUUAUGAUUAUUCUAUGCACUUAGUUUAUAUCUUCUUUUAUUUAUUUGUAUAAUUGUUAAGAUUAGUUAUAUGAUUAAUGGCUUAAUUUAAUUACUCUCAUUAAUAAAUUUUGUAAUAUAUGAGGUUAUUAUAUUUUCAAAAGACAAACUAUUUUAGAGAGUCUCUUUCUUAAAUCAUUUUUUUUUAUUAGAGUUGCAUAUUUAAUUAUGUGCCAAGCUAAAUUUAUUUUGUAUGAUUAUAAUAUAUAUAAGUAAUAUUGGACCUUAUUAUUAAUGUCAUGUUUAAUUUAUUUUAGGAAUAUGCAAAUUGGGUGCAACAUGUAAUAAUAUUAUAAUAUCAUUUAUCGAUAUUUUUGUAGUGUCUCUCUUGUUUUAAAAUCAUUGUCAUGAUAUUUUAUUUAAUUAUUUAAAUUAGAUAUUUAUCAAGUUUUGUUUUAUUGGUUAGGAAAUCAUUUGAUCAUUGAAUAUUGUGCAUCGGUGUUGCUAGUUAAGGUAAGUUAACUUUUCAGUCUUGCUAUUGUAUUUAUUUGAAACUUUGUUUUGUUUAAAUAUUUGGUUCAAGUUAAACAUUUUAGAUAUAAGAAUUCCCAGUUAGCUCUGACCUAUGAAACCGUUAGUAUCUGCGUAUAGUUCCGGAACUAGCCUAUGAUACCUUACUAGGGGUGCCUGUUAUGAUACCUUCGGGGUUGCACACUUUAUGAUACCUUAGUAAGGGGCGCAUUACUGACAAAGUUAUGAACUUAUGAUACCGAGUCACCGGGUAUUUGUGACCUUAGCGAGCUGUGGAAUUAUCUUAUAUAAUGAUUCUGGAUUUAUGAAACUUAUGAAAUUAUGUAAAAUACUUGAUCCAUUAGCUUGUGUGAUUGGUUAUCUUGCUGGGCUUGUAUAGCUCAUUACUUACAAACUUUCAGGUGCCUAGCUUUUGGAAUCGAGAGGGAAUUGGCUUAGUUUGCUCCAAAGAUUUGAAUUUGCAUAAUUCUAGUAUAGAGUUGUGUCACUUUAUUUGAGAUUAUGUCAGACUAUGAUUUCUUUGAUUUUAAUUGUAAUGUCGCUGCAUUUGAAUUUUAUCAUGUUAAAUGACAUUUGAGAUUUGAGAUUUAGCAUUUGAGUAUUGAUUAUUUGAUUUAAAAAGUUGGGUCGUUACACUGGCUGAUAUAUCUUCCUUCAGCGGAUGUUUCUCCAGAUAGGCGAUAUCUCUUACGCACUCUUGGAUCGAGAAAUUCCAACACUGACCCGUAUAAUAUUGUAAAGAUAUCGGAGAAAAGGGUAAUUCACCUCGCCAAUCUUUGACAAUAUUCCAAUUAGCCGGAUAAUAAUAUCCGCUGCUUCCUCCUUCCAUGAGAGAUUCGAAGAGUGUGUAGGGUUGGGGUUUCGAACCGGUAUUAAUUCUCAGGGUCCAGCGGUGAGUUGUGACGGAGUGAGGUUGAUUGUUGUGUGUCUGUGUGUUUCGUGCAAUUAGGGCUGAGGCGCGCCACACUGGGAUAUUUGCAUAUAGCUAUAACAUAAUAGGAUAUUAGGUAUAUAUGUUAUUUAAUAUAUAAAAUAAUUAUAUUAAUUAUAUAUAAGUUCCGUCCAUUCGGUAGAGGACUGAAAUUUUUUAAUGAGAUCAUACCGGACCGUAUUUUAUUUUGGUUCGGACCGAAAUACCCGAAUCAGAUCAAAAUUUCAGAAAAUUAGGAUCAAGUUGGACCGAAUUUAUUCGGUUCGAUUCGGUUUUUUGGUUUUGCUCAUCCCUAAUUGUAAAAUCAUACUUUAUUUUCUACUUUAAUUGAGAUUGAGGGAUGAAAUUAUUAUUUUUAGAUAUUUCAUAUUUACUUACUUUAACGUAUAAACUAUAACAAAACGUAAAUAUUGUCAAAAGUGUUCUUGUAAUGUUCGGGUUAUAAUAUAUUAUGUUAUUUUAUUUUUAAAAUUAUUUGAAAUUAUAUUAUUUUUAAAAUUAUUUAAAAUAUUAUUAUAAUAAUUAAAAAUUAUUAGAUAAUUAAAUCAUUUAAAUUAAGCCCAUGCUUUAAUAUUAUACUCUAUUUUAAAAAUAUAAAAUUUAAUAAUUAAAUAUAAUCAAACCAUUUAAAGUUAGCUCAUGCAAAGCAUGUAACCUAGUGUAAAUAACUUUCAAACAUCUUCUUUUUAAAAAAGUUACCUUUUAGAGCUAAAAUAACACUAUAUUUUCGAUAAUUGUUUUUAAUUUUUAUUUAAUAUUUAACUGACUUCUAAAAUGCCCCUCCGCAUUUUUGAACACAAAUGGCACUUUCUAAUACAAAAUUGAAUCACACUUUCAAAUACAAAUUCAACUCGGGCUUGAUUAAAUCCAUUUAAAAUACUCUGCAUAUUUGCUUUUGAGUUUAAAUCCGAGGUUCUUAAUUCACCUAAUUAAACAAUACAAGACACAAAAUUCUCUUCAGCAACGUAUAUGCUCAUAAAUUUACAAUAAUAAGAAACAUCAAAAUAAAAAAGAAAAAAAAAACAAUCACCACUUUUAUCUUAUCUCUGUCUCUAUAACAAAUUCAAUUAGUUGGCCCAACUAGAUGAAGAAGCGGAAUGUACUUGAAAAAUAUGCAAAACUAAUGUCGGUAGGUGUGAAGACCAGAGAGAAGCAGGAGUGAAGGAGGGAGGGGGAGGAGGGAUAAUUUCCAACUUCAACACAAGGAGAGUCCCAUGAGCACAUUAUACAGGGAUGCUCUGCCUUACAGUUUGGAGAUGAAGAACAAGAAUUAAGUGAUAUUCUUCCGCUUAUAUUCAAAGAUUUGAAGGCACGGUGAUUAAGCAACAAAAAAUAGGAAAAUCAUGAGGAACACAAUCAGCACAAAGAAAAUCUUGAUCAUCAGCCAUCUGUUUGAUGAUAUGCUGUUAAGGUAUCUGACCAGUUGCCCCUGUGCACCCUCUACAUUCGCCAAAGUAUCCUCCAUGUUCUCGUCAAUCCUGUCAGCAACAAAAUGUUUAAGAUAAGUUAGCAAGUAGAAACUUCUUUGACUAGACCUGUAUAGUAACGCAUACACGAAUGCUUAAGUUACAAAAAAAAAUAUUAUUUGCUUAAUUGCUUCCAUCUCGGAAAGAACAUCUAGGUCAUUAUCGGUCUAACCAGCUACCCACAUAUGUUUUAAAUUACUUAACUAUCAUUGCGAGGUAUGCCAAGACUUCCCUCAGUGAAGUGAAUAAUGAUACUUUAAACAGAAUUCAUAAAUGGCAUCAAAUCAUGUAAACUGUUUCUGUGCUAGACCUACCAAAUUCAAAAGGAUCCCUCAAUUAUCUUUUGUCAUGAUGCAGAAUACCAAUUAAGAAAGAAUAAACUACUUUCAUUCCAAUCAUAUAUAUUGCAAUGCAUUUUACAACAAUAAAAAUCACUAGUAUUUGCUGUAGCUAACCAACCUAAUUGCAAGUUCCCCCUGCUGUGACACCAUUGUUGCCAAUUGAGUAAAGAUGUUGCUCAACUCAUGAAUAGUUGACUCUACAUUCUGGAGAGCUUCAGCCCUACUAUUCAUGUAAGUGUCUUGUAAAGGAACCAACUGUUGUUGCUGUUGAUCUUGUUGCUGGUGUAGCAAAGGCUGAGAUUCCCCAUCUGCCUGCUUCCUGUGAGGAAAUUGUAGAAAUCCUAAUUAGGUAUUUUAAUUAUAAUAUUAUUUUAUAGAUAAAUAUAUAAAUUUAUAUAUAAUAGCAUGUAUGGACUCCAGAUAAGACCAGAAAUUGUGUACGCAGUACUAAAACUUCAUUCCUGACAUGUUAGUUUAAAUAGAAUAUCUAUCAAUAGAAGUGCAAGGCUUAACUUGUAUGAAGUUUCUUUCUUUGCUACAGCUGAUAAAAAUUGUAUCGGCUAAGUUCACGAGUUGGAGAUAAGCGGACUCGAACCGUAUGGUAGACGUAAAUAAUUAUGACAUGGUGGUGUAAAUGAUCCUUUUAAUCCUAAAUUAAGUACACAGAACUAUAAAUACAAAUUCAUAACACAAAUUACUAUUUUUCUAAUAAUUAUUAAUCUAUUUAGAACUCAAUUAGUUUUGAGCACAUAUUCAGGCUGACGAGAAAAUACACUACACAAUUACCAAGUCAACCCUAGAUGGAUCAUGGAUGUCAAUCAAGAAGAACUAGAAAAAUAAGUAGCUACAAGAAGUGGCAGCACUACAUCCCAGAGGUCUGAUCAGACCAUAUGGGAACAUUAUUAUAGUUUUAACAAGUUGCUAAACUAAAUGCUGAUACAGAUGCUGGAGUAACUACUUUCCAGGGGUUCAUUACUUGCACCUACGAGAAAUCACCCUUCCUAUACCUCCAGUCAAAAUAGAUAUAUUGAUCUGCAAGGCUUUUAGCCUAGCAAAUUCUCCCUCCAGCUCUGUUUGUAAUAAGAAUUGGAGGGUUCAAGCCUUAGUAGGGAACGAGUGCAAGAGUAUAUAAUUUUCUGAACUUGACCGCAACAGAAUUUGUUUUUACAAAAUACAGGAAUAUUAGUUGACAUAGAAGGCGACCAGCUCGAUAAUGGACCAACUGCUCCCUCUAUAAUCUAACACUAGACAUAUAUUUCUAUAAGAUUUCGUCUCUUAAAUGGGUAGAUAAAAACGAAAAGUCAUGUCAUAAUAGAUAAAAACACCGGGAUUUUACCAGAACAAACUAUAAACAUGGAUUAAAUUUUUCAGAUCAGAAAAAUCUUUUCAGAUUCAACUAAUCAACCAUCAACACUAAUACUGCCAUGUGAUCUUUACCUUGGAAAUAACUGAGAUGAAGAUGCAGAACCAUUGGCCCAAGGAGGAGGAGCAUUUGAUGUACCUGCAGCUGAUUUGGCAGCCAAGGGCCGCUGGCGAACAAAAGGAUUAGUAGCCUCUUUCGAAUUGGCUGAAGUAAACAACUGCCUUCUGUUUUCAUGAACUUUCAAGUUCUGUGCAAACAAAAGUUAAACAAUAUAUUAGCAAACAAUACAAAAAACAUUGAAGCAAUGACCAGAAGGUACAAAUAUAGUACUUUAAUGCUUUCUAAAUUAAUGUACAGCAUACAGAACACUAGAUCUUGGCUAAAGUACAUUAACAAGUAACAAACCUCUGUCCGCAUGGUAAGAACUUCUUUGAACUCUUUUGUAGUGCUCAUCAAGCGAUUUUUCAGAUUAUCAACAACUGUGGUUGAAUGAGUUGUUGUGUCGCUUGAAAUAUUUCCACUAUUAUUUUGUGAGUUGCAAACAAGUUGCAAGUCCACUACAGCUGAGUUCAGUGCCGUAAUAUCCUGCUUGAUGACAGCUGUUAACUCUUGAAUCUCCAUCGUUGGGUCAUCAAAAACUGAAGUUCGCUUUGCCACUGUAACAAAAAAGAAAAAACACCUGUAUAAAUUACUCCUACAUUGUCUGGUAGUGUGUACAUAAUGCAGAAGCAAUAGCCACUACAAGUACAUGUUUGGCGUGAUAUAGACAAACACAGAAGUAAAUAAUAAUCAUGUUAUCCAUUUAAGCACAAAGAUGCCAACAACUACAUCUCAAAAUAUCAGACGUUAUAUGCUUACACAUAGAGACACAAAUGCUCCAACAGAUAUACAUGUCCUCACAAAGAGACCUUGUGGCAUGGUAUGCUAAAGAAUCAAUAACAGAUAUAGUAAAAAAAUUAAGCAAAUUUUUUAAAAAAGAGCCCUGAUAUUGAAAUAAAACCCACUAUCAAUUGAACUUGAUCAAAUCCAUUAAUGAUACCCUCAGUCACAUUAUCCUUGAAGGAUUUUUACUAAUCUACCUUAGUACCGUUUGUCAAAACACGACAUAUUACAGUAAUACAGCAUUUACUUUAAUACAACAUAUCAGCUGAAAAAUUCAAAAACAAACAGACCCAAUUUCAUGAUCUUCCUUGGAAAUCUUAUUACUUCACUAGAAUGAUUGAAAACAUUAUGUUGCAACAAUCUUCAGCUCACUUCCACUAAUAAAAUAUUAGUUAUAGAGUGGGUUUAAAGAAUAUUGUUGGAGGUGGAUACGAACGAAGUCAUUAGGAGCCAAUUCUUUAUAUUAUUUUUAGGGAGCGAGCUAAAAGUCUCAUGUGAUACAGUAUGCUAAAGAAUAAGUACCGUGAUUAACAUUGAACUAAUCUAGUACCACAGUCCUAAUAAUGAGCUAAAACCACUAUCACUUGGAAUUAAUUAAAUCCAUUUAGGAACUUGGAUACUCUGCAGUCAAACUAUCCUUCACAUGUUUUUAUUUUCUUUCUUUUGUGUGUUAAUGUGGUGUGGUGUGGUGUGGGUCUUAGAGAAGCACCAAGUUAUGUGAAGUCAUCACCCAGGAAAGAAUUUGUCAAAAAGAAAAGUAUUUCCGAAUUUGUGGUCAGUUAUACACUUUCAACCACUAAACCUGUCUACAAAUCUACCUACAACUCUACCUUAAAACCAUUUGCCAGACUACACACAAAAUAUUACAGCAUAUGAAACAGACUUAACAUCUAAUGGAACUAUGCUUCCAACUAGACAAAUCACUUUUCUUACGUCAUGAGUGUAAUAAACAAAACAUUCCACAACAAUCUUCUGUUUUUCCCAUUUUACUCGAGUUUCUUCUUUCCCCCAGAAUAUAAGCAGGUAACAAGACAACAUUUCUAAGCAGUGAUGCAACCAGUUUUCAAGCACAACAGCUACAGCUAAAAUGUAAUUCACCAAUCCACCGGAUAAAAGAAACAAAAAACUUUUUAACAAACAUAAUUUCUACGAUAACCGGAAUUCUCUUCAUUUCUCCCCCAACUACAGCUGAAGCUUACUAGUAUACUAAUACAGUUAUGAGGGAAAAAACAAAUUCUUAAACUAUAUAAAAUGUGAAAGCACCAUCGUCUAUAGAUUUCAAUCCAACAGCCAAAGCAAAAAUAAAAUAAAUUAUCAACUAGCUACAAUCGGUAUCGUAAUUACAUCGUAAAACCAUAAUUCGAAGACGUGAUAACCAUAUCAAAACCCGCAAACUCACAUUCCGAACAUAAAAACAAUCAUUCCAAAUUCCAAAAUCAACCAAUUCAAAAUCACAAAACCCACAAAUUUCACAAAACAACACAACUCAAAAUCCCGAAAUUCACGACACCAAAACCAACUCACAUUUCGCCAGCUUCGACAGCUUCUGCGACGUCUGGUGGAUCCCAAACCCAAUCUUCGACGCCCUCUUAUUAAACUCCGACUGAUUCGCCACCGCCGACCCGACCCGAUCCGUAAUGCUCCGACCCGACGACGUCGUCGCCACACUAGACGCCACCGUCUUCUUCAACCUCUCCGCUAUGCUCUCGAACUCUACGGUCCGAUCUCUAUACGACGAUUGAGCCGAUUUCUUCAACAUUAUAUAUAUCUAAUUUGUAUGUAUAGGUGUAUGUAUAGAUCCCCAAAUCGAUGAAACCCUAGAUCUUGUGUGAAUUGAAUUCAGAUCCCUAAAUUGGGUGGAAGAUUGUAUCUAUAGGUGUGUGUAUCGGUGGGAGAGAGAUAACCGACAAGAGAGGGAGAGAUAGAGAGAGAGAGAGAGAAUGGCGCCUGAGAGAGAUUUUAUUAGCUGGGAUAGUGUGAAAAUUAAUCAAAUUUUGUGUUAAAUUGGUGUUUUCUUAGGAUCAAUUAAAUAAAUUAAAUUUAUAUUAUUUAUUUGUAUUUACAAAAAAUUGAGUGAUGAAAAUUUAUAUAAAAAGAAUUUCAUGUCCAAUAACAAUGAUAUAUGUAAAAAUAUAUGAAAGAUUUCUUUCUAUACUUUCAUCAUUUUAGAUUUUUGACAUAAUUAUUAUGGUAUAUAUAAAAUCUUAAGCAUUAGUUUUGAAAAUAUAUAAAUGAGUAAGCUUACUUUUAAUUUAAAAAUAACUUUUUGUUAUUAUUUAUCAUAAAUAAUAAACGCGAUAAAAUAUGUUGCAAUAUGUUCGCUUUGACCAACUGAACACUCUGAUGGUUGAUGUGAACUGAUAUGUACUUUGUGCAUACAAAAACAAAGACUCUCUAACCAUAAAUGAGAAAAAUCAAGCAGAACCCCUGAAGCACAGCAAACAAAAUGUAGAAAACUGUCCUUAAAAUCGAAGAAUCUUCGACAAUCAUAACUGGAAAUCGACACUUGUCGUCUGACGGAUCCUCGUCUGUCAGCGUAGCCAGGCCUGAGAAGUUGCAUGCUGUAAUGUACUGGUUCUGAAACUGGUAAUACAUGUUGAAAGCAUAAGAAGCAUUUUCUUUGACACUUAAGUGAUUGCAAGAAGAACCAUAACUCAAUGCACUGCAAUCAGAAUGGCUACAAGCAUAAUCCAUACUGGUUCCUAAGUUUUUCGGUUUCUUCAAAUGUGGGCUCAGAACACACCAUCUCUUGUCCAUGUAUCGGACGCCUUUCACUGCAGUGAAGCUGUUGUUGUCGUUCCAGCCUGACAAGUCCAAUUUGUAUUUAGGCUUGCCAUCAAACUGGAAUAUGCCCCAGUGCCUCUCGAAGUAACCUGGAUCAAUGCUUUUAAUGUUUUCGUCGAUGAGGCUGAAAAGAUAAACGUCGAUUAGUACUCCUUUUCGUGCAGGAGUUCCUUUACCACUCAGAGCAUGCUGAAUCAGUCCUUGAUUGAAUCUUCUAGCGUUUUUUUUGUUAGCAUUUUUAUUUCCGUCAGUUGGCCAUCCGAUUUCUCCCACUAUGAUCUUCAUGUCGGGAUAUCCAGCUUUCGUCAAAGACCAAACAAGAGUGUCAAAAUUUGCAUCAAACACAUUAGUGUACACAUUGGCACCAUCUCUGAUAACCAGCUUAGGAGAUCCAUCAAAAAAGGCCUUGUCUAUUGGGAAAUGAUCAUCGUCAUAAAGGCUUAAAAACGGGUAAAUAUUGACAGUAAAAGGGGCAUUACUAGAGUGGAGAUGGCGGAUGAUGUCAAUCAUAAGCUCACGGAUGUCUGGUCGAAAAUCUCCAGCAGAAGGAACAGGAUUCGAAGCUGGAGCAUAGUAAAUGUCAGCACUAGAAGGAAUUGUGGCUUUAAUCUGUGAUCCAAUUCCGACAUUGUUGAGAGCUCCCUGCACAUUCUUGAGGGCUGGUAAAAUAUACGGCAGAUAUGUGCCAUUAUAACUUCUAAGCAAAGGGUCAUUCCCAACAGCAACAUACCUACAAGCAUUUGUAUCAAGUAGAUUAUAGCAAGAAUCAAAUAUUCCCUUUAGCAAGACUAGCUACGGAACUUAUCUAGCCCUAUAAACAACCACUUGCACUAAAACUCGUUACAGAUUAACAAAUUAAGGGAGAGGGGGAGGGUGAGAGAGGGAGAGAGAGGGGGAGAGAGAGAGAGAGAGAGAGGGGGAGGGAGGGAGAGAGAGAGAGGGAGGGAGGGAGAGAGGGAGGGGGAGAGAGAGAGAGAGAACUGUGCACUCACUUGAAACUUACUCCACCUCUGUAGACAUAAGCAGCAACAUUAGACUCCACCCAAGAAACAGCAUUUCCAGGGUCCUGACUCAUCUCCAUCAACAUGCCAUUCGGAAUUCCUAACACAACUUCGAUAUUCGUCCCGAUAAAGGCCUCAAGAACCUUGUGAUCAGCCUCAAACAACUUCACUUUGUUGAUGCCGUUUCUUAACAUCAUUUCAACUACAUUGUUUGGUGGCAACUUGUGGCUACUCAUUGUGCCCCAGUUCACUCCUACACUUGACCCAUGCACAAACAACCCCAUGUAAACAAUCACAAGCACCAUUGUUAUGAAGAGAUGAUCACAGAGUAAUAUUAUGUCUGUCAUUUUCUUUACUUCUUGAUAGUUUCUUGAUGGGCUUUUUUUUGUUUUUGUAACUUUCUUGGUUCAAGAAAAUUUUAGAUAUUAAAAAAGUUGGCUAAAGUUUAAUAUCCGAAACUAAUUAAUUUAGUCGUCUUUUGUAGCAUCAAAAAUUUCUUUUUCUUUUUCAUUUACAAAGUUAUUUAUAAUUUUCAAACAUAUUUGAAACUCAAUAAUUUUAUAUUUUUUCCGUAAAUGACAGCUCUUUCAGAAAAAUGAAGUUAUCAAAAGUUAUUUCUCCAGAAGUUCCCUAAGUUUUAAAUUUGUGUAUAUCUCACCGUUCCUCAAUCAAUAAACCAAUGUCCUAUUGUCCUCAAAGAUGUAGAAAUAAAAUUUAACCUAAAAAUUUAAACCCAAAUUUAUAGUACAAAUUUUAUUAUCUUCUCCCCCGUUUCAUUCCUUCUCCCCCGUUUCAUUCCAUCCGAUGAACGCAACCUAAAAGUAUACAAACAUUUUAACAACUAUAAUACGGUUUAACAAAAAUGUGAUAACAUGAACUUAAAAUUUUAUAUAUUGGAAUAAUUGUUUCUCAGUGAUUAUUUCAGAUUACACUGCGUAUUGUACUUGGGCUUUUUGCCUUUCAAAUUUAAGAAGAGAACUAUGGAACAUAUGUGUUAAAUCACCGAAUCUGCGAUUCUUUCAGACAGAUCCUGCAAGUGCUUAUACAUAUUGAUCUGUAGAUUAGCACGGUGUGGGAAUCUCCAAGUCAUCUUCACCGAUACAGGCUUCUUCUGGCAGCUUGAAACUUAAACAAUACAUAGCCUGCAAUACAGAAGUGUUGGUUAUACUGUGAAUUAUAGAAUUAUAGCUUAUAUAACUCUCAGUUCUGAUACUACUUCAAACCUUGUAUGGAGCAACAUCUCUAACCCUAUGAAAUACUGGAUCUUUGAUACUAGCCUUUAAAGCGGACUCGGCUUCCUGUCAAACAGUCAAUAUAUAGAGGAAUAAUUGUCGAUUGAGCGAAUUGAGUACAACACUAUUCAGUUAAGUUAUAUAAAUAGUUUAUCAUGCAGUGCAUGCAAACACCCAGAAAAAGUUUGUGAAAAUGACCAUGAUACGGGAACUUACUGAUAUUACUGAUUCUCUCGUCUCAGAUGACCUCAUGAAGCAAUAACAAUGAAUCCAAGGUAGUGAGCCCUUCCAGUAUUUUCUCCGGAUAAGACCUCUGAAUGAAUCUGUGAAAGACACAUCAAAUUUUCAUAUUGCUCGUCCAAAGGGCAAAAAGAAAAGCAUCAGCAAUAGGAAACUGAACCGCCCGGACAGCAAGUAAGCACAUCAGAGUUAGGCACAUAAAAAUAGAGUAUAACAUCUAAGCCAGAAAUCUAUUUACUAUGGAACGUCUAGUUUCAGAGUAGUGAAAUAAACACAUGUAUUUCAUAUACCUAGGAACUCUACAAUGUAACUCAAUUUCUGGGAAGUUUUAGUACCUCCUGUAACUAUGAAGUUGAUGUAACAAACCCAAAAAUGACAUCUGAUAAAAUGCAUUCUGUAAAGAUAAUUUGAAAAUAACAUCUACGCCAGAAAGAGCAUCUUAAUUUGAAAUAGUUUCAUAUUAGACUUCAUCAUAUUAAAAUGACAUGAUGUCAUCAGUUAGCCAAUUAUGGCAUCAUUUGUGUAAUAAAAUCUCAUAUUGCAGCGGAUAAAAUAAUAAAAAAACUUGAAGCUUAAUAUGCAGCAGAUAUCUACAAAUGCGACUUUUAUAGGGAUUCAGAUAUACAUAAAUAGAUCAUUCAUAAAAUGGACCGAAAGAUUAUAUGGUUUGCUUUGGCAUAGCCAUUUUUCCAAAUAAAUUUUAAAAAAUAGAUGAUUGACAAUUUGGGCAUAGCAUGAUAUACAACAGAGAUCAGUAACAUGUAAAAAUAUUCUAAGCUCCCUGUUAGAAAACAAGUAGCAUGAAAUUAUAUAUCGGAACACUGAUGUCUGGAUCAGCAAGUUGGUGCAAAUCAGCAAGUAUAUGUAUAUGGGAUAGAAAGAGAAAUAUAUACAAUGACUUAUAUAAACAUACCAAUAAAUUGAAGGGCAGAAGCAGGAAGAUUCAUUAUUAAAUGAUCAACAUGCUCCCAAGGUUUAGUACUGACUGACACAGAAGCUUUUAUGCGUUUAUUUUUUCCCUUGCUUGCCUUUGAAGCUGCACAAACACCAACUUCUGCAAAAGAAAUAUUAAAAAAGCAGCACUUAGAGUAUGAAUAUAAUAUCUAAUAAGCUACAUACACAAAUACAAGUUUGCUGAAAUUAGCUUAUAAUAGAAAGUACUAAUUUGAUGACUAAAAGAGCAUUAUGUGUCCAUUUAACCUCCCUGAAAUUCUGAAAAUACCUUCUUCAGAAACAUCUGAAGGUCGUUUAAGAGUAGUCACAGUUGCAUCUUCAUUCAUACCCACAACUCUGUCAGAGUCCAAAGUAAUUGACUUACUGCACGAAACUUCUUUCACCUUGCCUGCAGAACAUAUAAAGAUCAUAUUGAUAAUUAUGUUUUAAGUACAUAACUCACUGGCGAGAGUCCUUGCAAAAAAAAACAAAAAAAGAAAAGAAAAGAAAACUACUGGGUAGAGUGGGAGGUAUACCAUUUGUCUGCCCGCUGUCUUCUUCUUUUGGUACUUCGCCCAGUUCAUUGAGUGGCCCAGGAAAAGGAGCAACAUAUUGUGUCUCGCAAGUUGGAACUGACAUCAGUUGUGCAAUGAAUUUUCUAGCAUCCAUGUUGUAUGUAUGAACGCAAUCCUCAACCUUGUUGAUUUUGGCAUUGAUCUUCAGAUAAUUAACACUGUCUGGAUUCAAAUCAUUUGCAUACACUAGGCAUCCUUUCUUUGCAGCUGGAAUAGCGAAUGGACCAAUACCAGCAAACAUGUCACAUAUGGUUUCCCCUGCUUGAAAUAGCGAUAUCAACCUUCCGUGUUCAUGGUCCAACCUUGAAUUCCAAUAGACCAAGCCAUAAUCAAGCUUGAACGUUGCUCCACACUGCUUUACUUCGGUAGUCAUGUCAGUUUUUCCAGCUAGUACUUCAAACUUUGGUACACGGAACUCGUUAGUAAUACUUCCCACUUUAUUAACAACCGUCUGGAUAGAGGGAUAAUUUUUCUGAGGAUAUCAAGGAAACAAAGUAUUAAACGAUGCAAGUGAAAGAUGUCUAUAAGCAAUACUUUUUAAAGUACGGCACAAUUUAAAUGAUUAGACACAGACACACAGCCUAUUACAAAGACCUUUUACACUUUCUCCUAUGCACUUUGUUUUCAGUUUAUGAAUUCUGUUUUUCUUAGUCCAAAACCCCUAAACUGAUAUCCCAUACAAAAGAAAGAAAAAUAACUCUUAAAUCAUAAUUUGUUUCAAAAAAUAUGUUAAGCGCUUCAAUUUGGAGUUGUGACAACCUUCUUAUGUCAAAAGGUCGGAGAUUAAUACUAAAAAACCAAUAAUCUAAGGAAAAUAAAUAUCGGCGAUUCAUGGUUCAGACCAUAUGCCCCAUUAGAAAAAGAUGGUACAUAGAAUAUAAGAUGUUGCCAUUUCCAUUGCAACGCAACAGAUAUGUGUGUGUGUGAGUGUGUGCAUUAGGUAUUCAAACUAGACGUGGGAGUCACUGAAUGCAAUUUGUGAACUGUCUAGGUCUUUCAAAGAGAUUAAUCACACACACUACAAAGAAAAAGUAUAAAUAGAUGCUUUGGUAUCACUAUUGCAAACAGUGUUUCCUAUGGAAUUCUCCUUUGCUUUUGUUAGAUCAUGGAGGGAAUUAAACCUAAAAAAAAUACCUUUCAUGUACUUGGUCACAGGAUUCCAGCACCAAGCACAUUUAAUUAAAAAUCUAAGCGCCCCCCCCCCCCCCCCNNNNNNNNNNNNNNNNNNNNNNNNNNNNNNNNNNNNNNNNNNNNNNNNNNNNNNNNNNNNNNNNNNNNNNNNNNNNNNNNNNNNNNNNNNNNNNNNNNNNNNNNNNNNNNNNNNNNNNNNNNNNNNNNNNNCCCCCCCCCCCCCCCAAAAAAAUCAUAAAUGCAACAGAUUAUGGAGGCGUGCCAUUGAAUACAGAGAUAUCUACUUAUCUACUUCCUACAAAUAGUGUCUCUAAAUAGCAGCUAAAUGUUGAAAAUUUAAAAUUAUGAAGACAGGGUUCUGGGCUUCGCAGUGGAUAAGUAAAGAAAGAACUAGUGACUACACAAAUGAACAUAACAGCAACAACCAAAUCGAGUUACUUCAGCAAAAAAGACUAGCAGAGCAGUUGUUGGAGGAAUCAUUUAGUAUUAGUCAUGUGUCUAUAUGUAUAGUAAUAUACAGAUAAAUGGAAAUAUAAGAGUAUCUUACAAAUACGGAAAGUAUUCAAGUUCAGGCAUAUUUUUGAAUAACAGUACAGGACAUGACUAGUGAAACACUGCAACUCACAUCAUAUAUGACCUUCGCAAUAAUAUCCUUGUAAGGAAGUAGUUCCUGGCAUAUGUUCAAAUGGGCAAUGUGACCUGCAUAGAUACUGCAUGUUAGUCAAGUCCAUAAGUAGAGAUGAAGGCUCCAGCCCGAUAGAGGAAAUCCCUUGACAUUGAACUACAUCAGCAGGUAUACAGCUGGUACAGCAGAAAACUGAAACAAAUUACAUUUAUAAUAGUGAUACUUAACUAUGGUUUCAAAUGAUGACUGUGCUGUAAGCCCGGGAGGAAGAAUCUGCUUCAACACGUGAUCUAUCGCGCAAUAUCAACCAUUGAGGUUAGUCAGUAACAGGUCAAAGUGGCUCACCAUCAGCUGCUGAUUUACAGAAUUAAUGUAAUAGCGCAACAGCAUACAUGACUAUUGCAAUAAUCUACAGUUAGAGGAGAGUAAAGUAUUUAGGGGGUGGAGUACCUUAUACUAAUUGAAUAAAAAGCAAGAAAUCAUACUAGGCAAAGUAUUUACAUGAUGGAAGGAAAUAAUCAUAUUCAUGGAUCAUGAAGUUGAUAUAGUCUAUUUGAUGCCUGAAUCAAAACAUUAAUAAAUGACACAUAUGUUAUAUUGCAUUUUCUGCCUGAGUCAUCUAUUGUAUAUUAACAUUGACUUAACAGGGUGCUGAAAAGAGAUCUCUCGAGGAAGCUCUUGCUUCUUGAUGAGCUAUUAGUCAUAACCAAGUACAACAAUUAGUUGCUGAAGGUGGUUAAAUCUCACAAACGUGAAGAUAAUUAACACAAUUCAACUAAGCUUAGUUUACCCAUUUUAAGUAAAAAGUUAAGAGUUAAAACAAAAAAGAAAUUGAUAACAUAGAAUAAUUUAAAGUUUUAACUUGAGCUUUAAAUUUAAGCUAGAUAUAGAAUAUGUUAUAUGCUACAAGUCCCCUGACAACUUCUAAAAAGAAAAGCUUAAACUGUAUUUGACCAAGAAAGAAAAACUGUAUAUGGCCAGCCUAUGCAUAUUGUAUAGCCUAUCCCUAGCCAUAGUAAAAAUGAAGAAAUGCUGUGGAAUGUUCCUGUCAUAACGAAUUACACUCUAUGACGUGAUUCCUACGAGAUUAUUUCAUAAAUAGAUAUUCAAAUUUACAGAAAAACACCGCUUAUUCCUAAUCAGUAUAUUCAUGUAAUCAUGUCCCCUGAAAGAAACAUAACAUACUCUAAUGCACAUAACUGACCUGCACCCCAGUAGGAAUAUCCAAGGGUCAUUGAAUAAGGAACUACUUCCACUUCAAAAAGCUUCUUCAGCUCGUCAAUUUUUUCACUUGGAAUAUCAGAUAAAUCUGUUAUGCAUAAAGAUAAAAGAUCACAUCAUUAUGACUUUCCUAUUGGCCACUCAUUAAAAAGUACACAUGACUCGUAUAAUCAUUGUUUAUUAAAGAUGGGCAGUAAGCGCCUGUCGAUGCAACUAAAACAUACAUAUGAACAGAACAAGAAAUAUGGUACCAGCAAUAGAUGAAGUAAAGCUGAGGAAAAUUAACGAACAUCAACUAGUUGAAUUCUUCACACAGUUGAAAAAAUCUUGCAUAGCACUUAAAGGUUUAUUAGGCUAUAAGAUCAAUGAAGUCCCAAAAUAUAAUAGCACAUAAAGAACAGGAAUUGACUGCAAGCUUGAAAUAACUGAUUGAUGGUUAUGUGGCUAUUACGAUGAAGACAAGAAGUUGCAUACAUUUCAAAAUCUUACAGCACCUAAAUAAGAGCCAUUGAAUCACUAGCAGUGGCCCCCAGAGUUUGUUAUCAGGAAUCAGGAUUCUCAAAAAUUAAAUGCACAUGACUAGAACAGGCCAAGUCAAAUAAAAACUCAAAAGAAUGUUCAUGCUAAAAUACCAGGAUUCUGAACCUUCUCUGAUAGUAUAAUAUAACGACAUUUCUCAUUUGCUGGAUCUUUGGUGAUGGGACUGAUUCGAGGUCUGUCAAUCAAGUACCUAGAAGUAGAAUGACAAAUGUACAAUGUCAUGUAUGUCUUAGUUUCCUUUUAAAUACAUAUAAACGCAUAAUUCAAUUGGCAGCCAAAGAUAGAAGGCUUCGCUCCAUCUGGAAAAAAAAACUUAUGUUUUGAUAUCUACAUAAUAAUUGCAUUUGUGAGAAAACUAGUAAUUGAUUUAUCACCAAAGUACAUCUAUACCAUUUUAUUAAAGCUAAACAUGCAAAAGUUUGGUCGUUGGCUUGUAUCUGGUACGGUGGAUUAUAACUGUUGGAUCACUUAAAUCAAAUUGAUUAGAACCGUUAGAUUAAAAUUUCUACAUUUAUGCGACUAAAGGUCUAAGGUUCGUAUCUCAUCAACAACAUAUUAAAAUAAAUUAUUAAUUUAAACACACAUAUGAAAAUUAUUAACUAUUGAAAAUCAUUCGUGCUUCGCACGGGUUAUAGGCUAGAAUCUAACAAAAUUCUAAUACAAUAAAACAUGUAAUAGAUCACUUCCAACCCAAUAAAAUUAUGUAAUCUAAUUUUAUAUAUUUUACCACUUGCUAGUCUUACUAAAUUCCCUAUUCUGUAUUUCUUAUACGCACUACAACUAUAGAAUAUUCAAGAGAAUCCAGGAAUGGCAAUGUUUGGCACUACAGAUGGCACAAUUUACAGAGACAAGCCCAAUAAUGACACAGUUAUGCCUAAACUAACCCAAAUCUGAACUGACUCAGAAUCAUAAUCCUUCAAGCUUGUAUACUAAUUUCUGUCAAAGAUGAGUAAAUUUUAACACGAAACAAAAUAACAUGGAUAACCAGAAACACUGCCUUAAUUCUAAAAUUGAAACCUGAAGCAGGAUGAGAAUUAAAAACAGCAUUAAGCUUGGGCAAAUUACUGCUAAUAAUAGCCCUAAGGUGACUUAACUACAAAAAAGGCACUACCCCUAGCAUUUCCAACCACAGAGGAAAGAAAUUUGUUUGGCUUACAACCCAUAAUGUGAGAGUAAUAACAAUUUCAAAACUCCACGAGCAAGUACAAUCCUAAUUAUAAGAAAACUAGUAAACAGAUGAAUAAAAAUCCUUUUGAUUAUCCUACAGCCAUAACUAGAAUAUUCAAUUCCUAAUAACAUAUUUAUCUUACAUAAUUGACGUUUGUAGCUAGUUACAAAUAGCUUUGUUCCAAUGACAUACGAUAGAUACAGAUGAAUCUGUAAAUUUCCUGGUCCACAUCAUAACCCCUUGAAGUGUGAAGAUCAACAUAUAUUUACAGCAUUUAAAAAAGGCACAACCGCACAAAUCACACAAGAUAUUAUAACUAGAACUGAUAUUGAGAAUUCCAACUUAAUUUGAUAUAACUUAGUUAACCAUAUGAUAAAUAUAUGAAACAGAACUUAGUUAAACCUUACAGAACACUGAAAAUGAAGUUCAUACCCAUGUAGCAAUCUGCCUACAGCCUUGCACAUCUCCCGAGGGAUGCGAAUUGCAAACAACUUCAACUCCACAUCAAGCUUGCUCUCAUCCAACAUUUUGCAGUCCCAAUCAGUAUCAAACUUUCACUGCUAGUGUCCUGAAGGAUAAAGAAACAACUAUUUCAAAAAAGGUACAGUUGCAUACCAUUCUAAACUCUAUAGUUUUUCUGAUAAAGUAACACCAAUAUGAGUAUGCGACACUUUGCUAGCCAGACCUAACCAACAUAAAAUAAAGCUCAAUAUGAUAAGUGCAAUUCAUGUCAAUGAAUAGCAAAAGGCUUAAAGUGAGAUAAUUGUAGUGAUUCGUUAUCUGGUUGGAUGGAUCGGAAUCCGAGGUAACCUACAUUUCUGGACUUGCAUGAGCGAUACUAGUUUCUCCAUUCCAUUCAACAAACUUAAACUAGUUCUCAUUCUAUCUCUUUAAUUUAUCUAUCAAUGUUCAUCCCAUCUGUCAGCUCGUAUAUUUCACAUAAAUUAUUCCCUAUCAUAUUACCUAUCAUAUUUUUAACUCUAGCAUACUUCCAUUUCACUUCUAACAUUCCCAUCGUCUUCGCACUAAACACAUUCAUAAAUUUAAACAAUCCUCAAACAACUAAAACUUUCAAUGGUAUCGAAAUUUGCAAAACCACAAAUUCAGCUUCAUCAAUUCUACUAAAGCCAAAACAAUGUGUGAAUUUCAAGCAAAACCCAGUACUUAUAUGCAUUAACCAUAUCAAUAAACUAAAGUACAUACAAAAAAGAUAGAAUCUUUGUAUAGCCGAAUCAUAAUUCUUUCAACUUCAGAACAGCACAAUGAAUUAUCAAAAACUCUUUUCAAUAAAAUAAAAAAAAGGAAAAAAAAAGGAGCAAGAACUCACUUUAGGAGAACCCCUUUACACAAAUUUUACAAGAAGCUUUAAGACUUCAAUUUGGGUAAUUUUAUUGAUAUUGAAUUAGGGUUUAAGUGUUGUGAACUCAAUCAGGGUUUACGGGUUAAUUCUUUACGUUAGGGCUAUGAGUAAAGCCCAAUUAGAUGGCUAAAUGGGCCGCUUAUUUCAGUACUCACUCCGUCCCCCCAUUUCUUAUCAAAUAGGUUGGGCACGGAGGGGCACGGAGGUUAAGGAAUAUGUAUAAAGUAGUGGAAAAGAGGAAGAAAAGUGGGUAAAGUGAUGGGACCCAUUGAUUUUUAAUGUAUAAAAAUAAAAUAGUGGAGUAAAAGUAGUGUGAAAAGGAAAGAAAAGUGGAGAAGUGGUGGGACCUAUUGACUAUUUUUGGUAAGUUUUGAAAUGUAAAGAAUUGGGUGGGACACCCAAGAAGUAAAGUGUAAAGAAAUGGGUGGGACGGAGGGAGUAGUAUUUUCAGCUUCAAAACGUGUUUUGUAUCGUCCAAGCCUGUGCAAAAAAAAAAAAAAAAAGGCUUGUACACAAAAUAUUGGAAUAAAAUAAGAUAAAAUAUAAUAUAAUCAUUUUAAUUUUCUUUUUUGCUUUAAGAUAGUCUGAAACAUCGGACUACAUGCAUAUUGGGUUAAUUAUCUGGUUGGUCACUCAAAUGGGCUUAAUGUAUCAAAUUGGUCACUGAACUCAAAACGGUAUCAAGAUGGUCACUGAAAUGGCCAUAAAUAUCAAACAUGUAUCUUAAAAUAUAAGUUCAGGCACUAAAAAUAUUAUUUAUAAAGUUUUACACAUUAUUUUUGAAUGUUACCAAAACCAAGCAAAAGGUUAUGACUUCUAAUAUUUAUGAUAAUAUAUUUAGAUUUUAUCAAGUUUAUUUAUUAUUUAUUUUUAAUUAAAACAAAGAAAAUAACUAUCUAAUAAAAUAUAAAUAAUAAAUAAAUUUGAUAAAAUAUAAAUAUAUUAUUUUAAAUACUAUAAGUCAUAACCUUUUAGUUGGUUGUGGUAACAUCUUAGAAUAAUGUGUAAAACUUAAUAAAUAAUAUUUUUAAUACUUGAACUCAUAUUUCAAGGUACUUGUUUGAUAUUUAUGGUGAUUUUAGUGACCAUCUUGACACCGUUUUGAGUUCAGUGACCAAUUUGAUACAUUAAACCCACUUCAGUGCCCAACUUGAUAAUUAACUCCAUGCAUAUUAUAUUUAAAAAAGUAGAAUAAUUAUUUUUGUAAAUCGCAAGACAUUGUGUUUUUCCAUAUAAUUUAUAGCAAUUCCUACCAUGAAAAAUCUCGGCUAAAAAGUAAGUUGACAUACCAAAAACUCCAACCAUACAAGGGGUGUAAAUUAGCCGAGCCGAACUCUAAAGUGCUCGUGUAUCGUUUGUUAAAAAAUUAGUGAGCUCGAGCUCGAGCUUGGAUCGAGCCAAAAAUAUUGUUUGAGGAUCGAUUCAUUAAGAAAUAACUCUGUUCACGAACAUGUAUCACGAGCUUUUGCUCACGAACCGCUCAUUAACUUGCGCUCACGAACAUAUGUCACAAAUUUUUGCUCGUCAACCGCUCAUUAAUUUUGUUCACGAGCUUGUUUGAUAAACUUUGCUAACGAGCUAGCUUAUGCUCAUAAAUUUAUUUACGAGCUUGUUUGUUAUUUAAUUUAAUUAAAAAAAAUAAAUUAAAAUUCUAACAAUUUUUUCAUGUUCACGAGCUACGCUCACGAGCCAAGUUCACGAAUCAUGUUCACGAACUCAUAAUUCGAACUUGUUCGCGAACUAUCGAGUCAAACUUUAGUGUGCUCAAGUUCAGCUCGUUUAUAAAACGAACCUUAAAAUUGUGCUCAAGAUCGACUCGCUUAUGAAUUGAACCGAGCUCGAACCGAACUCUUUUCGAACCGAAUAUUGAGCGGUUAUCGAGCGUAUCAACUCAUUUACAGCCAUGUCCAUACUCUCCUUUUAUCCACAAUUAUAGUCAAACUCCAAUGAAUAAAUACAAGCAUGUAAAAAAUUCUGCAGGGAGAUUACAUAUAUCACUUGUUACCAUAUUAAAGUGAUAUUAUUUAUUAUAACAAUUUAAAAUAUUAAUAACAUACUAUUUUUGAAUUAUAGCAUGUAAAAUAUAGCCAACAUCAUCGAAGCACAAUGUCUUGCAUCUUCAACAAAUUCUAUAAGAUGUCCUACAGAUCUAAUUUAACUGAUCAUUAUAGGCUAUAGCAAAGCUCAUCGAAGAUGCCGAAAACAUAAUGAUUGUUGAAGUUAAAUAUUCUUUGGUCGGAAAUAAGUUUAAAUUUGUUAGAAAAUGGAAAGUUUAAAGCAUAUUUUUUAAUAUGUUCUUGAUGUAAUUUCCGGGACAUUUUCUUAGUGAAAUCCAUUGAGAAAUAGAGUUGAAUACAGUGGCUUGAAAGAGCUUGAAAUGAGAAUGUGAUUCAUUUAAUCUGGACAAAUGAAUCUGGUCAGUAUAUCUGACAGAUACAGAUUCAUUGAAUCUGGACAAAUGAAUCUGGUCAGUAUAUCUGACAGAUACAGAUUCAUUGAACCUGGACAAAUGAAUCUGGUCAGUAUAUCUGACAGAUACAGAUUCAUUGAACCUGGACAAAUGAAUCUGGUCAGAAUGUCUGACAGAUACAGAUUCAUUGAACCUGGACAAAUGAAUCUGGUCAGAAUGUCUGACAGAUACAGAUUCAUUGAACCUGGACAAAUGAAUCUGGUCAGAAUGUCUGACAGAUACAGAUUCAUUGAACCUGGACAAAUGAAUCUGGUCAGAAUGUCUGACAGAUACAGAUUCAUUGAACCUGGACAAAUGAAUCUGGUCAGAAUGUCUGACAGAUACAGAUUCAUUGAACCUGGACAAAUGAAUCUGGUCAGAAUGUCUGACAGAUACAGAUUCAUUGAACCUGGACAGAUGAAUCUGGACGGUGUGUUGGUGCCUUGGCCUCACUAUAAAUAGUGAGCCUCGACACUUGAGUUGUAGCACGGGAAAAACACAAACACCAUUCUCAUUCUUCUCUCUUACACUCUCACCAUCUACUCCGAUAUAUACACAUAUACAUACUGUUCUCGGGCGAACUGAGGUGUUGAUCGCUGUUGAUCGUACUCGUGUCUGUGAGCGGUUCGGUCUGUGCUGUUUUAUCCUGGGAGCGAUAUUGCGACUACCCAUCACAGCGUAGUGGGGCAAUAAUCACUUCAAGAACAGUCUAGUCUUCAUCGAAGGGCUAGGCGACUCAGCUGUUCUGUAUACUAAUUCUAGCGACGGUGUAAGGUGCGCCUUUCUCUUCUUUUCUUGUAAUUUAUCAGUCACUGAUUAUUGUAUAUACGAUCUUCGUGCAUGCUAUAUUGUUGUGGUUUCGUUGGCCUACACUUGUUUAUAUAAUAUAACUGCUCUAUACAUUGUUGCUGUGAUUUUCACUGUGACUCCCAACAAUCUUGAAGUGAUUAUCUGUUAUAUUGUGUAGUAAGCAAGAUGGUUAAUGAGAUUGCGGAUUCUGUUGUUGGUGGUGGUGCUGGUUCUGGGUCUGGUGUUACUAGUAACAUCGAUUGGACUACGUAUCGUUUUCCACAGCCCAUUGAUUUAUCAGGUAUUCCUGAUAAAUUCGGUGGGGGAGUUUCUUUUUCUCGUUGGCAGAAAAAGAUGAAACUGUGGCUUACGGUUAAGGGUCUAUGGCCGGUGUUGCAGUAUGAGAAACCAGUUGUGGUACAGGAAAAGGCUGAAACCCUUAAGGCCUAUGCUAUGUGGGAGGAAAAGGAUGGGGUGGCUAGGGCUGCUAUUCUAGCAGCCUUAACGAACACUCUGUUCGAUGUUUACUCAUCUGACUCCUACACUGCUAAGACCUUGUGGGAGAAACUUGAUCAGACACACAAUACUGACUCGCAAGGGUUGGAAAAGUAUUCUGUGGCUAAGUUCCUGGACUUCAAACUGGUGGAUACAAAAUCCAUGACUGAGCAGGUGCAUGAGUUUGAGACGUUGGUGCAUGCUUUGAAGGAGUCCGGAAUGGACCUUCCUGAAAAGUUUUUGGUUAUGUCUGUGAUUGAAAAACUCCCUAAGUCUUGGGAAGAGUUUGCACUCUCCCUGAAAAGGCAGAAGGGAGAGAUCACUUGGACUAACCUGAUGCUGGACAUCUCUGUGCAGGAGCAGCACAAGUCCAAACAGGGACAUGUGAUGCCAACUGAAUCUGGUAGCUCGAAGGUCAAUGUAGUGACUGUGGGACAGAAAAGAAAGUCUGUCGCUAAGAAGGUGAACACUAAGCCCAAAACUGACAAGGGCAAGGCUAAGAAAUCAAAGGCCAACAAACCAUGUUGGUCUUGUGGACAGGUUGGUCAUUGGAGUAAGGACUGUCCUGUAAAGAAAGCAAAGAAAGCUGAGGUGGUAGCACAAGCAAAUACUGUGCUUGGAACCACUGAUGGGCCUGUGCUUAACAUGGUUGUUGGUGAGGCUGUUGCUUCUGAAACCAAUGACGGGUAUGUUAAGUACAACCCUGAACUAUUUUCCACUUAUCUGUCUAAUGAGUGGUUGAUUGAUACGGGAGCUAAUGUGCACAUUUGUGCUGAUAUUACUCUGUUUGUAUCUUAUCAACAGGCUCAUGGGAUGACAGUGACGAUGGGGAAUGCUAGUGCGGCUCAAGUUCGUGGAAUAGGAAACGUGGACCUGAAGUUUGCUUCAGGGCGUGUUCUAUCCCUUACUAGAGUGCAUCAUGUUCCCGAGAUUCGUAGAAAUAUUAUUAGUGGAAGUUGUUUAGUUAAAAAUGGCUUUGAACUUUCUUUAAAGUGUAAUAAAGUAGUUAUUACUCAGACUGGUGUGUUUUUUGGCAAGGGCUACUUGUCAGACGGCUUGUUUUUAAUAAAUGUGGAGCCUGUUUUAGGCGGUUUUAUUAAUGAUAUUGCUUCUCCUUCUGUUAAUAAUAUUGAAUCAUCCGAUUUGUGGCACUCUAGGCUUGGUCAUUUUAAAUUUUGGUGCUCUAAAGAAUAUGAUGAACUUAGAGUUGAUUCCAAAGCAUGCCAUUGAUAAGAAAACUAAAUGUCAAGUAUGUGUGACAGCUAAACUAACAAGAAAACCUUUUCAUAGUGUGGUUAGGGAUUCUGACUUGUUAGAUUUAGUGCACUCGGACAUAUGUGAAUUUGGUGGUGUGUUGACUAAGGAACACUGUAGAUAUUUCAUUACCUUUAUAGAUGAUUGUAGUAGAUAUUGUUAUGUUUAUUUUCUUAAACAUAAAGAUGAAGCACUUGAAAAAUUCAUUAGAUUUAAAACUGAAGUUGAAACACAAACUGGUAAAGUACUUAAACGUUUGAGAUCUGAUAGAGGUGGUGAAUAUACGGGAAACACCUUUAAUGAAUUUUGCAAGAGCAAUGGUAUAAUUCAUGAGGUGACUCCACCAUAUACACCUGAGUCUAAUGGGGUGGCAGAACGAAAGAACAGAACUUUUAAAGAUAUGAUUAUAUACAUACUGUUCUCGGGCGAACUGAGGUGUUGAUCGCUGUUGAUCGUACUCGUGUCUGUGAGCGGUUCGGUCUGUGCUGUUUUAUCCUGGGAGCGAUAUUGCGACUACCCAUCACAGCGUAGUGGGGCAAUAAUCACUUCAAGAACAGUCUAGUCUUCAUCGAAGGGCUAGGCGACUCAGCUGUUCUGUAUACUAAUUCUAGCGACGGUGUAAGGUGCGCCUUUCUCUUCUUUUCUUGUAAUUUAUCAGUCACUGAUUAUUGUAUAUACGAUCUUCGUGCAUGCUAUAUUGUUGUGGUUUCGUUGGCCUACACUUGUUUAUAUAAUAUAACUGCUCUAUACAUUGUUGCUGUGAUUUUCACUGUGACUCCCAACAAAAUUUUCCUCUUUUUUUUGCACAUAAACAUGCGUCCUGGAGAAGUGUCACUGUAUUGACCACGGCAAGACGGCAACUGAGUCAUCAGUCCAGAAAUAUAAGAUGAGUAUUAAAAUUGAAUUUGGCAGCUACCAAAUAAAUUCUCCUGUUAGUGUAUAUACUGAGUUUGAAGAAUAUAAGACGCUACUCUUUCUUUUCCCUUUUUCUUUUGGAAAGUAUGACACUACUUUCUUAGUAAUAGCUUUGUUAGUUGUUACGACAUAGGAUGGUCUGGGAAGGUAGUUUCUUAUUAAUAUUAAUAAGAAACUGACUACAUUCUUAUAUUCAUAAAUUCUUCUCCCAUAAUCUCCAAGAAAUGAUUAGGAAAUGUUUCAUAGUCCCUUCAUCCUUACUUUUAAAUUCAAAAUAUAUAUUAAUAUUAGUAUUUGAUGUAUCAGAUAAUGUUUAUUCAGAAUCGAGGGGUUGAAAGUUGUGGGAGCCUUUCUACUAUCAAAACCUUUUUAAUCCUAGAUGUAAAAAUUUACUAUAAUCAGUGACGGAUGGAGGAUUUGAUGAAAGGAGGGGCAUAAGGCAAAUAGGAAAAAUUGUCUAAAAAAUAACUUAAUACAUAAUAAAUUGAACAAGUCUCUAACACAGAACAUAUAUAUGUGCUAUUUAGAAGACCAUAGAACUAUACUAGAAGAUGUGUUUUGAAAUAAGUUCAAUAAGUUUCUAACACUAAGUAUUUUGAAAUAAGUUUCUUAUCAGUAGACGAGGCGAUUGAGUUUUAUAAGAAGACAUGUCUUGAAAUAAUACUAUAAAUCUCCAACACUUGACUUGCCUCACUAUCCCUAGGCAUUGAUAUUAUAUAUGUCAGGUUAUUGAUAUAUCAUAAUUCAUAAGUUAUUCAAAUCUUUUUAAAUCUGUGUAUUACACAAAAUUUCUAAAAUUUUACAUACCGGCUAUUAGCUAGAAACAUCAAUAAAUAUAUACGAUAACCACUAAAAUAUAAAAUUUAAUGCAUAUGUGAGUUUUUGGAUAAGAGUGACUGUAAUUUCCUGUAAGCCACUUGCAUAGUUGCAUGAACCACCCUCUAGAAGACGGGCUACAAGACAAGAGCUAUAUAGCUCGUGCUAUAAACUCUUCAGCACAAGUCGUUGUUAAAGUCAAUACUAGUCCCAAGUAACCCCAAAGUCUAAGUUACAGCUACCAAUUUUCUGGUUUCUAGUUAUGUAGUCCAGCAGUAUAGUAAAGGCAACUACUAGUUUCUGGUUGGAUAGUUUCUGGUUGAAUUAGUAUAUGAUUAUACAAUUCAACGGCUUAGAUUAUGUCUGGUAUAUUAUAUUGUAAGGUGUAGAUGGUUUGCUGGCACCUAUAAAUAUCCUUUGUAUCUGAGUUUAUUAAUAUAACAAGUAACAGUUUGUUUCUUAAGUCUAGAGAGAAAAGAUCAGUUCAUACUUGUUAGUGUAACUAGUGUGUUCUUUUUCUAAAGAGAGAAGAGUGAAUACAGAGAGUGUUUUUCAACAAUUGGUAUCAGAGCAAAGGUUGUAUUAUCAAUAAUCAGAAGACAAGAUGGGUGAUCUUCAAGUGGUGGGAGGAAUCAAGAAGCUUAACAAUCAGAACUACAAUACAUGGUCCACCUGUAUUGAAUCUUACUUGCAAGGUCAGGACCUGUGGGAGGUUGUUGGAGGGACUGAAGUAUCUCAGCCAAUAACUGAGGAUGCUGUCCGCAAGUGGAAGAUUAAAGCAGGCAAAGCAAUGUUUGCUUUGAAGACCACCAUUGAGGAAGAAAUGUUAGAUCAUAUUCGGGAUGUAAAAACACCGAAGGAAGCCUGGGACACUUUCACAACACUCUUUUCAAAGAAGAAUGAUACUAAGUUACAAAUUCUGGAAAAUGAAUUGCUCUCAAUGGCGCAAAGGGAAAUGACGAUUGCUCAAUACUUCCACAAGGUGAAGUCCAUAUGCCGUGAAAUUUCAGAUUUGGAUUCAACGGCUGCUAUUGGAGAAGCCAGGAUAAAGAGAAUAAUUAUCCAUGGCUUAAAACCUGAAUACAGGAGUUUUGUGAGUGCUGUGCAAGGUUGGCCGACACAGCCAUCUCUUGUUGAGUACGAAAAUUUGCUAGCAGGCCAAGAGGCCAUGACAAAGCAAAUGGAGGGAGUCUCGCUGAAAGGUGAAGAAGAAGCACUCUACACCAAGCACAGCAGCAGAGGCGGUACAAAACAGCAGAGCAGGGGCGGAUUCAAGAAAUUUGGUGGCAUGUCAAAAAGUCAUCAGGGAGAGAGAGGUUUCCGUUCAGGUGGAACUUUCGCAAAUCGAGAUAAUACCAAGAGAUUUGAUGGAAAGUGUUAUAAUUGUGGAAAGAAGGGCCAUAUGGAGAAAGAUUGUUGGUCAAAGAAGAAGUCUUUAGAGAGUAAUAUUGCUACAUCCAGCACUAAUGAAGAAGAUAGUUGGGAUGCAGAAGCAUUAUUAGCUAAUGCUGAAGAUUUAUCAGCUUUCCAAAUGACAACAAAAGAGAAGAUCGAUUAUAAGAAUGAUUGGAUUGUUGACUCCGGAUGUUCAAAUCACAUGACGGGUGAUAAACAUAAGAUGCAAAACUUGUCUGAGUAUAUGGGAAAUCGGGUGGUGGUAACGGCCGACAACUCGAAAUUACCAAUAGCUCAUAUUGGAAAAGCUGCUGUUAUGCCUCGGUAUAAUCAGAAUGAAGUGUCACUUCAGAAUGUUUAUCAUGUUCCAGGAAUGAAGAAGAAUCUAUUAUCCGUGGCUCAAAUAACUUCAUCUGGUCACUAUGUUGUCUUUGGUCCAAACGAUGUGAAGGUAUUUCAAGACCUUAAUAUAUCUGAAAAGCCAACGAUGCAGGGGCAGAAGUUGGAAUCAGUUUAUGUAAUGUCUGCAGAAUCUGCAUAUGUAGACAAAACACGAAGAAAUGACACAGCAGAGUUGUGGCAUAUGCGGUUGGGUCACGUUAGCUAUUCCAAGCUAAAUUUGAUGAUGAAGAAAGCGAUGCUUAAAGGACUUCCUCAAAUUGAAGUACGGACAGAUACCGUAUGUGCCGGAUGUCAGUACGGUAAAGCACAUCAAUUGCCAUAUGAAGACUCAAAGUUUAAAGCAAAGGAGCCACUGGAGUUGGUGCACUCUGAUGUAUUUGGGCCUGUUAAACAGCCAUCGAUCGGCGGAAUGCGAUAUAUGGUUACAUUUAUUGAUGAUUUUUCAAGAUAUGUAUGGGUCUUUCUUAUGAAGGAAAAAUCUGAAACAUUUCUGAAAUUCAAGGAGUUUAAAGACUUAAUCGAAGGGGAGUCAACUCACAAAAUCAAGUGCUUACGUACAGACAAUGGAGGAGAGUAUAGCUCGAAGGAAUUUAGUCAAUAUCUACGAGCUAAUAAAAUCCGUCAUCAAUUUACAUGUGCAAACACACCCCAGCAAAACGGUGUUGCAGAGAGGAAAAAUCGACAUCUUGCUGAAAUAUGUCGGAGUAUGUUACAUGCUAAUAACGUGCCUGGAAAAUAUUGGGCUGAAGCUAUAACUACGGCAUCUCAUGUCAUUAACAAGCUUCCUCAACCAAGGCUGGAUUUCGUCACGCCCUUUGAAAAAUUAUGGGGAAAGAAACCUGCUGUAAGUUAUCUUCGGGUGUUUGGUUGUGUUUGUUAUGUAUUUGUUCCUGAUCAUUUACGUAGCAAGAUUGAUAAGAAAGCAAUCAGAUGUAUCUUUGUGGGAUAUGACAAUCAACGGAAAGGAUGGAAGUGUUGUGAUCCAACAACCGGAAGAUGUUACACAUCACGUAAUGUGGUUUUUGAUGAAGCAUCUUCGUGGUGGACUUCAGAGAAAGAAACAACGCCUAACUCUGAAGAAUUUGAGAAAAAGUUGGAACAAAAGAUGAGUGAGCAUAUUGUUCAAAUUUUGCCAAGUUCAGAUGGAGAUAUACGUAAUGAUGAUGAGCCAAACGUCACACAAAAUCCUUGGCAAUCUGGUAUGUAUCAACAACCAGAUGAAAGCUAUAAUUCUGGUGAAGAAUCAGCUCCAUUACGAAGGUCAACAAGAACUCGGAGGGCAAAUGUUAGAUAUGCUAAUGCAGCAAUAAUCGAAGAAAUAGAACCUGAGACGUUCGAAGAAGCAUCACAAAAAUCAGAAUGGAUAACAGCUAUGAAAGAUGAGAUCAAUUCCCUUCAAGAAAAUCAAACUUGGGAAUUAGUGUCAAAGCCACACGAUGUGAAACCUAUAUCCUGCAAAUGGGUUUACAAAAUAAAGCGCCGUCCAGAUGGGUCAGUUGAGAGACAUAAGGCUCGACUAGUAGCUCGCGGCUUCUCUCAGCAGUACGGACUAGACUACGAUGAAACGUUUAGUCCGGUGGCAAAACUCACAACUGUAAGAGUCUUGCUUGCAUUGGCGGCUAACAAAAAUUGGAAGUUGUGGCAAAUAAAUGUGAAGAAUGCGUUUUUAUAGGGUUGUCAAACGGAUAAUUCGGAUACGGAUAUGCCUAUAUCCGUAUCCGUAUCCGCAAUGGCCGGAUUCAGAUACGGAUAAUAUCCGCUUUAAUUCGGAUACGGAUAAUAUCCGCUUAUUCUCGGAUACGAAUGCGGAUAUUUCAGACGGAUGUCGGAUAUUUUUUAUGACUCUACCGUAUUAACGAUGAUUUUCGAACAAUUUUUUUAUGACUAAGCUCAAAUAAUAUUUUUAUAUAUGUAUAAAGUGUUUGAGUAUUUGUACAAUUAUAUAAAAUUUAUGUAAAUGUAUUAUUUAAUGCAUAAACACACACUACAAGCUAAAUAAAAUAAAAUUUUAAUUACAUAUACUUAUAUAUUAUAUAAUUUAAAUAUCAUAUAUGUAUUUAAUUUCGGAUUCGAAUAUCACGGAUUCGGAUACGGAUAAUAUCCGUUUUAUUUCGGAUACGAAUAAUAUCCGCUUUUUCUCGGAUACGGUUGCGGAUUUUUCGGACGGAUAUCGGAUCUUUCGAAUAUUUUUGACAGCCCUAGUUUUUUACAUGGAGAGUUGGACCGAGUGAUUUACAUGAAUCAACCAAGUGGUUUCGAAAGUGUAACUCAUCCUAAUUUUGUUUGCAAACUCAGAAAAGCGCUUUACGGAUUAAAGCAGGCACCACGUGCGUGGUAUGGGAAGAUAGCUGAGUUUUUAAGCCUAUGUGGUUAUGUGAUGGCACAAUCAGAUUCUAGUUUAUUUGUUAAAAUAAGAGAAGGGAAGUUGGCAGUGGUGUUGGUAUACGUAGAUGAUUUAAUCAUUACAGGAGAUGACAUCGAAGAAAUUUUUCAGACAAAGAAAAAUUUAUCAGUCCGUUUUCAGAUGAAGGAACUAGGAGAACUCAAGCACUUCUUGGGAUUAGAGGUUGAUCAUACUGAAAAUGGGCUGUUUCUUUGUCAACAAAAGUAUGCUACAGACUUACUAAAAAGGUUUGGUAUGCUUGAAUGUAAGCCAGUAUCAACACCCAUGGAGCCAAAUGCGAAAUUGUGUGCUCAUGAAGGAAAAGAUUUGCAGGAUUCAUCAAUGUAUCGACAAAUAGUAGGUAGUCUGAUCUACUUGACUAUAACCCGACCUGAUAUAUCAUAUUCAGUUGGUGUGAUAAGUCGAUACAUGCAAAAUCCAAAGAAGUCUCACUUAGAAGCUGUUCGAAGAGUACUCAGAUAUAUAAAAGGUACUGUAAGUUAUGGUCUGAUGUACAAAAAGGGUGAAGAUUGCAGUGUACUUGGAUAUUGUGAUGCUGACUACGCUGGAGAUCAUGAUACUCGUAGGUCAACUACAGGGUAUAUGUUUAUGCUUGGAUCCGGGGCAGUUUCUUGGUGUAGUAAGAGACAACCAACAGUGUCUCUGUCAACAACAGAAGCCGAAUAUCGGGCAGCUGCAAUGGCAGCUCAAGAGAGCACAUGGCUGAUCCAACUAAUGCAGGAUUUGCAUCAGCCAGUAGACGCGGAAAUUCCACUCCUUUGUGAUAAUCAAUCAGCAAUUCGUUUGGCUGAAAAUCCGGUGUUUCAUGCCAGGACAAAACAUGUUGAAGUACAUUAUCAUUUUCUUCGGGAAAAAGUCUUGCAAGGGGAGAUUGCAAUGAGACAUGUUGCGACACAUGAACAAGUUGCAGAUAUGUUUACCAAAAGCUUAAGUCCAGGAAAGUAUGAGAAGUUUCGCUGCCAACUGGGAGUUGUUCAGAGAAUGGGGACUAACAUUGAGGGAGAGUGUUAAAGUCAAUACUAGUCCCAAGUAACCCCAAAGUCUAAGUUACAGCUACCAAUUUUCUGGUUUCUAGUUAUGUAGUCCAGCAGUAUAGUAAAGGCAACUACUAGUUUCUGGUUGGAUAGUUUCUGGUUGAAUUAGUAUAUGAUUAUACAAUUCAACGGCUUAGAUUAUGUCUGGUAUAUUAUAUUGUAAGGUGUAGAUGGUUUGCUGGCACCUAUAAAUAUCCUUUGUAUCUGAGUUUAUUAAUAUAACAAGUAACAGUUUGUUUCUUAAGUCUAGAGAGAAAAGAUCAGUUCAUACUUGUUAGUGUAACUAGUGUGUUCUUUUUCUAAAGAGAGAAGAGUGAAUACAGAGAGUGUUUUUCAACAGUCGUUAGUCUAAACUAAGACACAACAGAACUGAGUAAACAUCAAUCUAUUUGAUUUAUUUAUGAAUUAACAAGUCUAAAUAAAUGAAAGUCACAAUCAUUUGAUAAUAAAAAUGCCGAAUGCGUUUCUAUUUGUUGUAUGACUCAUGGGAGAUUGAAUUAAAAAAAGGUUCAAUAAUGCAAGUCAUCAUCAUGCAUGAAAAGUCCUAAAAGGGUUACUAUGAUCAUGUUACUUGGAAUUAUUGAAACGAAAAGAAGGUUCUGUUAAAAGCUGGUUUGUGUUAUUUUGGGAGUUAAAUCAUUUAAGUGGGUUUUUGGUUCCCUUAGAGUUUUAAAUUAGAAGUAUUUAUUCGUAUCGUUUAUAUAAAAAGUUGAGAAGCAUUUAAAAAAACUAGGAUUCUAUUUCUGUAAUUUGACACUAACAAAUAAGCUGAAUGUUCUGUUGCUGCGAGUGGUCUCGAGUCCUGCUGCUUUUCAAUUUUUAAUAUCUUCGAUUUAUCAAAAAAAGUAUUUUAUAAUAUGUUUAAAACAGGGAAAGAAUCUCGCAUAAUAAUUAAAAUUGUUUGCAGUGGCGGACCCAGAAUUUUUUCUCAGUGGGUUCCUUGUUUUAUUUUAUUAAUAUAAAUAAUAAAUAUUUAAUUAAAUAUUAAUAUUUAAAUUUUUGAUAUUAAUAUUAAAUGUUAAUUUAAAGAACAACGGAAACUAAAAGGAAUAUAUUUAUACAAAUAUCUUAAUAAAUACGAGAUGUUAAAUAAUUUCGAACAACAAUCGCCUAAUAAUUAAUAAGAUUUCUGAAUUAUUAAAGUAAAUUAUGAAUUUGGUAAAAUAUUUUAGUGGGUUCCCGCUAAUUUUAAAUUAAUUUUUAACCGAAAUUUACCUUAUAAUUACAUUUCGGCGGGAAGUUGAGUGGGUGCCCGGGAACCCAUAGCCAAAGCUAUGGGUCCGCCCCUGAUUGUUUGAUGUUAUAGAUAAAAACAUGUUAGAUACUAAAUAUUCCUUUCAUUUCAAAAUAAUAAUCAUUUUGAUUUUUUACGGUAAUUUUAGUUCUACGCUUGAAUUAUCAAAUACAUUACCAUUUUCGUUUAAAAAUAUCAAGUAUGUUAUCGACAAUUUUCUAAUUUCGUUUGUAUCACUGAUUUAAAAUAAAUUUGUAUUUUAUUAAUUUUAAAAUUCUAUAAUGAAAGUUGAUUGUUGAAAUUUUUUAGAAUAAGCAAUAGCCCAUCUUUCUAACUACAUCAGUUUUUUUUUAUUGAAUUCGACAUCUAUUUUCCCAAAGUUUCUAUGAUUUUAUUUUUGUUUUUUUAUUUUAUCAUCACGUUAUUUUGUGCACAAGUUUGUCAAUCAAAUUCAUGUCAUAAAAUUUUAACAAAAAAAAUUAAUUUAACUUAAUUUUGUGAAAUUUGCAUGCAUAUAAUUUAAUUUGAAACGAGUAAUUCAAAUAAUUUUAAAAAUUUAUUGAUAAUCCACUUGAUGUAUUAACAUAAAAUAAGUGAACUAAUUAAUUAUUAACCGAUAAAAAACAUAAUUUUAUAUAUUUAAUUUUCAAACUUUUUUUUCCUAAAUAAAUAUUUACACCUAUAUUUUUAUCACAUACCUCAACUUACCUGAUCGAUUUCUAUGAAAAUGAUGUAAUACUAAAAUCGGAGUAUUUUGUGAUGAAUACUCUAUCGUUAAAUCUUGAGAUGCUCACAAAAUCUAGCUAAAAUAAAGCCCAAUAACAUUUUCAAGAACAAAUGUUUCAAAAUUUUCAUAGAAGUCAGAUUGUAUCAAACAGAUUGUAAUUAACAUCAUCCUCUCCAGGAGUUUGGCAGUUCGAUUCGCAGUGACGUUUAUUAUUCUGUACACGCUUUUCACUUGUUUUCUACUCGUCUCUGUUUAGCUCCGCCUCCGGACCAAAUCAAAUCAAACAUACCCGAUAUGUGAAUCGAAAAUAAUCUUGUUGUCAAACAUUUUGCUAUAUGUUUUCGUGAAAAGCCCCGACUUAAAUAUUCACGUUAUCUUCGACGCAAAAUUAGAAAAAUUCCAAACUCGUAUAAAUCCCCGAUCAUCAGAUUAAUCCCGAUCAUUCCAACAUAAGAGCAUGGUGACACACCGUCGGAGAAUAUAAAUCUUGGUUUUCCGCUGCUUGACUAUCGUGAAGCACCUUUUGGAGAUUUUAGCUGCCCUGCAGUUGCUUUGACGAGAACUAAGAGAAUUGAUGAGAUAAGAAAACGGCAUGGCUGUUGAGACAAUACAACGAGUGGUUGAUGAGAGAAACGAGAAUGAAGAAGAAGAAGAAAAGUAUGAAACACUGGAUGGUUUUUGUUGUGUGCUUUUUAUUUAUAGAAUUGGAGGAAGCUCAGUUCACGCUGUGGUCCACAUGGAUGACUUCUAUGCAAUUUCAGUUGAUUGUGCCC